rnacentral:lncRNA from 1 species
UAAUGUAUUACUUUUUUGUUUUGAUUUUAUUAGGAAUGGCGUGAAUGUGAAAGGAUAUUUUGCAUGGUCUUUAACUGACAGCUUCGAAUGGAAUUUAGGGUACAUUUCAAGAUUUGGAACAAUCUUUGUAGAUUACCAUAACCUCAAAAGAUAUCCAAAGUCAUCUGCCAUUUGGUUUAGAGAUUUCCUACAAGGCAAAAUAGAUACAUAUGACAAUUAGUUGCUGCUAAGAAAAUUAAUUUCAACAGUGUAAUUGUACGAUUCAAAUCAUCAUACUUCUAUUCUUCAAUUUAUGUGUCAAUAAUGUAAAAGUAUGGUUUUGUUAGUGUCUAUUUUGAGUUGGAAUCUUCUAUGGAUUUAUAUGGGAAAGAACAUUAUUAUUAUUAUUAUUAUUAUUAUUAUUAUUAUUAUUAUUAUUUAGAUUAGGCUGACACUCUAGGUUUCAGCAAUUUAUAUUACGAAAAUCUAUAUUAACAAGAGAUAAUCAAGUCAAAGCUAUAAUAACUAUAAAUUGUUUGUUUUAAAUUAUAUUCUUUACCUCAAUUUUUUUUAAAUAAAGAAUGUAGAAUUCUUAUUUAUAAGUUCAUUCCAAGAUCAAAUCUCUUUUCUUAAUUGAUAUAAGUUCACUCCAAGAUCAAAUCUCUUUUCUUAAUCCGUAUGUAAUGUAAAAAAAUUUAUUUUUAAUUUUUUCAUUAUUAUUAAUUAUUAUUUUAUCCUAUUUAUAUUUUUUAUUAAUCCUGGAGGCAUUCUGCACUGGAUUGGACUCGAACCCAAGUCAUAAGACCCGAACCCAAGCCCCUAGCCUUGGUAUUUUUUGAAAAAUUCUUCCGGAAUAGUUUUUUCCUGAAAUUCCAUGUAAGAAUCUCCACAGAAUUUGGGACAAAACGCGACAAAUUUCCGAAAACAGAACGUCCUGACUUAUCUUUCGAAUAUCUUCUUUUUGUGAUUCUUUUAUGGACGUGCCUCCUUACCUGGGUGCAAACAACAUAUGAAAGUACUUGUGUGAAUUUUUUCAACGCGAUACGAAUCCAGAAUAAAAAUUGCAGAAAGUAGGACGAAAUUUCACAAGUUUUGGUAGAGGAUAUAGCCUUGGUAUUUUCUGAAAAAUUCUCCCGGAAUAUUUUUUUCCUGAAAUUCCACGUAAAAAUCUCCAUUGAAUUUGACACAAAACGCCACAAAUUUCAGGUCAAACGGAUGAGUAUUCACCCACAAAAAAAUCAAACAGUUUCACACACAAACGAACCUUCCCUUCAACCGUGGCUGUGAUCAAUAAAAAAUUUAUUGCCAAUCUUGUGGGACGAAUCUGGGGCUCAAAUCUCAGCCAAAACUCAAAAGACACAGUUUCGAAAGUCUGGUAAAAAUUUCAGACCAAAAGACCCAAGGAGUAAGGUGUAGUAACUCCCAGACCCAGACUGAACAAAACUGGUUUUUCGAAAACCGAACAUCCUGGCUUUUCUUCCGCGUAUCUUCUUUUUGUGAUUUGUUUAUGGACGUGCCUUCUUACCUGCGUGCAAACAACAUAUGAAAGUAUUUGUGUGGUUUUUUUCAGCGCGAUACGGAUCCAGAAUAAAAAUUGCAGAAAGUAGGGCGAUAUUUCAUAAGUUUUGGUAGAGGAUAGCCUUGGUAUAAUCUGAAAAAUUCUCCCGGAAUAGUUUUAUCACAAAGUUCCACGUAAGAAUCUCCACUGAAUAUGGGACAAAACGCGACAAAUUUCAGGUCAAACGGAUGAGUAUUCACCCACGAAAAAAAUCAAACAGUUUCACACACAAACGAACCUUCCCUUCAACCCUGACAGUGAUGAAGAAAAAAAUUAUUGCCAAUCCUCUGGGACAAAUCUGAGGCUUAACUCUCAGCCAAAACUCAAUAGACACAGUUUCGAACGCCUGGUAAAAAUUUAAGACCAAAACACCCAAGGAGUAAGGCGUUGUAAGUCCCAGACCCAGACUGAACAAAACUCGUUUUCCAAAAACAGAACGUCCUGACUUUUCUUCCUCGUAUCUUCCUUUUGUGAUUUUUUUAUGGACGUGCCUCCUUACCUGGGUGCAAACAACAUAUGAAAGUACUUGUGUGGAUUUUUUCAGUGCGAUACGGAUCCAAAAUAAAAAUUGCAGAAAGUAGGGCGAAAUUUCACAAGUUUUGCUAAAGAAUGAUAGCCUUGGUAUUUUCUGAAAAAUUUCCCGGAUUAGUUUUUUCCUGGAAUUUGACGUAAGAAUCUCCACUGAAUUGGGGACAAAACGCGACAAAUUUCAGGUCAAACGGAUGAGUAUUCACCCACGAGAAAAAUCAAACAGUUUCACACACAAACCAACUUUUCCUUCAACCCUGACAGUGAUCAAUAAAAAAUUUAUUGCCAAUCUUUUGGGAUGAAUCUGAGGCUCAAAUCUCAGCCAAAACUCAAUAGACACAGUUUCGAACGUCUGGUAAAAAUUUUAGACUAAAACACCCAAGGAGUAAGGCGUAGUAUGUCCCAGACCCAGGCAGAACAAAACUGGUUUUCCGAAAACAAAACUGGUUUUGUUCCGCGUAUCUUCCUUUUGUGAUUUGUUUAUGGACGUGCUUCCUUACCUGGGUGCAAACAACAUACGGAUCCAGAAUAAAAAUUGCAGAAAGUAGGGCGAAAUUUCACUCAAACCCACCCAAGUCAUAGGAUUGAGUUAUUUCCACCUUCCUUCUCAUCUGAAGAAAUGUUUUGCUUUUUUGCCUUAUUUCCCAAAGGUUAUGAGUUUGACAAGGAGUGUUUAAUUCAACUGUGAAUGACUGAAAAUUUUCUAGCAACCCCUUUGCAGAAAAGGAGUCCUAAAGAAGUUGGAGAACAGUAUUUCAAUGAUAUGUUAUCUUGGUCCUUUUUUCAUGAAUCUGGAAAAGAAGAGGAAAAGCAUUUUAUAAUGCAUGACCUUUUAAAUGAUUUGGCAAAAUUUGUUUGUGAGGACAUCUGCAUCAGGUUAGGAGUUGAUGAUCCAAUACUCAAGGCAAGCCGUCAUUUUUAAUUAUAUGAAAUUAAUUUUAUUGCAUUAUAGAGACUAUCGUUGACAUUAUUUGGCAUCAUUUAUUCCAAUAACAGGAGAAAAAAAAUUCUUAAAACUAGUUUGAGUCGAAAGUUUUAAAUAGUUUCCAUUCUUGAUUUUCGCUUGAGUCUGGAACUUUAGUUGAGCACAUGUGUGGAUUUGAUUUUAUAACAAAACGUCUUGUUCCCAAUCACCCUUCUGCUUACUAUACUGACUUGCACCAGGAGCACUCUUCCAACCAUCAGGGCUCGUCUUCCACGUCGUCAUGUCAAAGAGGAGACAAUGCCCUUGUUCUCCAAAGCCAGAAGUCCUCGUGGCCCGAAAUCCUCUCUACCUUUGAUGGAACGGUUCAGAAUCAGUUGAAACACGAAGUGGAGGAAAUUCAAAAGUCCAAGAAAGAGCUUGAAGACGCCAAUCUGAAGGUCGCUCAGCUUGAAGCCAAGCUUUCUGAAAUGGCUCAAGAUAGGGACGAUGCCCUUGGCAAACUUCAAAGGACCGUCGAAGAUUAUGCUCGGCACCGAGAUGAACGUCACGCCGCAAAUCGGGCUUGGGAGUAUACAGAGAACAUGCUCCAAGACAGGAUAUCGACCCUGAAUACUGCCUUGGAAACUGUCAAAGAUGAGAGUGGUCGGUGCUUUGUCGAAGGUUUCAAUGGAGCACUUGAGCAAUUUCACGUUCUUUACCCUCAUCUGGAUACGUCCACGUUUGAUCCCUUCAAAAGUGUUGAUCAAUGACUUUCAGUUCUUUACUGUCUUAACUUGAAAAACUCUUAGAAACACUUUAAGUAUGGAUGUAUGAGCUAGUAUAUUUAUAUUUUGCUUUAGCAACUGCUUAAUGAAUUGCCUCUACGUAUAUAUAUUCCACUAGUCUCUUCCAUGAUCCCACCUCUCUUAUUUAACACACAUGUUUAUGAUCCUGCUCAUCUUCUGAACAAAUACUAUAAUUUUCAUACACUAAGAUAUGCUUUAUGUUUAAGCAAAUUCGAAUUGGAAUGACUUACACAGAUAAUUUAUGAAUAAUGAUAUGCUUUAUGCAGUCCUCGUACCUUGCUUUAGACCGAGAUCAUUCCCGGUUUUCUUUUAUUUCUCCACUCUCAACUAGUUUUUGUCUUAUGGCAUUCAUACUUGGUUCUUCAUUCACAAGGAAGCGACAAUUGUGCUAGAUACCGUGCAGGAUAAGAACCCAUACAUGGUUUUUGUAUUAAGACCCUUACAUGGUUUUUUCAUUUUCAUAAGGAACGAGGCUGAUCUCCUGUGAAUUACAAACUUGUACACACCAUGUUGUAAUAUACUGAAUAAACGAUCUUAUUUCCAAGAAACAUGAAUUUUUAAACAAACCAACAGAAAUUUCACAAAUGUUUAAUUAACUGUAAUAAAAACGUAGAUUAAUCAUGUUCCAAGUUUUAUACUGUCUUAUUGUUUUUGUUUCCAACCAACCUCAAAAUCCUGAAAAAUUCUCAACUAUCUAAUUUCAGACAAUAUCCUUUUUUGAGAAAAAUUUAAUUGCUUUUUCUAAUAGAACAAUUUAAAAGUGGCCAUAGAGAUGUUCAUACAAAGUAAUGAAACCUGGAAAAUGUUGGUCUUCUAACUAUUUGACAAAAUGUCUCACUCAAACAAAGGUAGCAGUAGCUCCUUCAUAUUGUCAUUAUGGAAUUAACAAAGAAUCUUCCUCUGUAAGUUAUAUGAGAAUAGGGUGACAUAAGCAAUAAAACUUUCUAAAAUAAGAUUACAAGAUCAGUUUUAUAAUUAGUUUUGAAUGACUUGAAUAAGUUGAGUUUAUAAUAUAUAAUUGAGGACCUAGAAAAUCUUGCAACCCAAAUCGAUUUUCUAGGUUUGAAAAAGGUUAGUGGUGUUGGGGUUGGAUCAGGAUCGAGUAGUAAAUUAACAUAUACAUCUUUGCCAAAUGAAAGUGUUAAGUAUGGCAGAGAUGAAGACAGAGACUUUGUCUUUAACUGGCUCACAUGUGACACUCACAACAACCUAUCUAUACUUUGUAUUGUGGGCAUGGGUGGGUUGGGUAAGACCUCACUUGCUCAACAUGUAUUCAAUGACCCAAGGAUUGAAGGUAAAUUUGAUAUUAAAGCUUGGAUCAGUGUUCCACAGGAAUUUGAUGUUCUCAAUGUAUCAAAAGCAAUUCUUGACACAAUUACUGGUUCAGAUGAUCAUAGUAUACAGCAGGAAGUGGUUCAGAAAAGACUGAAAGAAAAAUUGACGGGGAAGAAAUUUCUUCUCAUUUUGGAUGACGUUUGGAAUAAAAGACAAUCUAAAUGGGAAGAUGUAUAGAAGCCCCUACUUUUCGGAGGCCAAGGCAGUAGGAUUCUUGUCACUACACGUAGUGAGAAGGUUGCUGCUACCAUGCAAUCAGAAAAGCACCUCCUGGAGGUGUUAAGAAAAGAUUAUGGCUGGGACUUGUUCGCAAAACAUGCAUUUCAAAGUGCUAGUCAACAACCGGAUCCAGAGUUCAUAGAGAUUGGUAAGAAGAUAGUUGAAAAAUGUAAUGGGCUUCCUUUAGCCUUGAAAACAAUGGGAAGUCUAUUGCACAAUAAAUCAUCCUUCUGGGAAUGGGAAAUCAUUAUGAAAAGUGAGAUAUGGGAUUUUUCAGAAAAUGAAAGUGAUAUACUCCCUGCUUUAAGAUUGAGUUAUCUCCACCUUCCUUCUCAUCUGAAGAAAUGUUUUGCUUUUUGUGCCUUAUUUCCCAAAGGUUAUAAGUUUGACAAGGAGUGUUUAAUUCAACUGUGGUUGGCUGAAAAUUUUCUAGAAAGCACUCUACAGAAGAGGAGUCCUAAAGAAGUUGGAGAACAUUAUUUCAAUGAUCUGUUAUCUUGGUCCUUCUUUCAAGAAUCUAGAAAAGAAGAGGAAAAGCAUUUUAUGAUGCAUGACCUUCUAAAUGAUUUGGCAAAAUUCGUCUGUGAGGACAUUUGCAUCAGGUUAGGAGUUGAUGAAACAAAAGGUAUAUCCAAGACAAACCGUCAUCUUUCAUUUCCAACCACUCAUAUUCAUUAUUUUGAUGGGUUUGGAAGCUUGAUUGAUCCUCAAAAGUUGCAUACAUUUAUGCAAACUGAAUCGAGAAUGUAUAAAGCUUUUUGUCACCCUUGGUAUUGUGAGAUGUCGAUAGAUGACUUGUUCACCAAAUUUAAGUUCAUACCCGUCUUGUCUUUGUGUCGUUGUAGUAAUCUUACAGAGUUUCCGCAAUCUGUAGGAAAUCUUAAACAUCUCCGUUCCUUAGAUCUUUCUUACACUGACAUAGAGAAACUACCUGACUCGAUAAGUUUACUCUACAUGUUACAAAUACUGAAGCUGAACUAUUGUCAAAGACUGAAGGAGCUUCCCUCAUGUUUGCAUCAACUGGACAAUUUGCGAUGCCUUGAAUUUAUAAAUACUGGAGUGAAAAAUGUGCCAGCACAUUUGGGAAGGCUGAAGAAUCUCCAAGUAUUGAUGAGUUCGUUUUUCGUUGAGAAAAGUAAGGAAUUCAGUAUUCAGCAAUUAGGAGAACUGAAUCUUCAUGGAAGUCUAAGAAUUCAUGAGCUGCAGAAUAUUGAGAAUCCCUCUUAUGCAUUAGAAGCAGAUUAGAGUUAGAAUGGAAGUAUAUGGGCAUCGGUUCAACAAAAGAUGGGGAUGUCAUUGAGAAUCUACAACCUUCAAAAUACUUGAAGAAGUUGUCAAUAAGAAACUAUGUUGGUAAACAAUUUCCAAAUUGGUUACUCAAUAAUUCAUUACCCAAUCUGGUGUCUCUAGUGUUGCGCAAUUGUAAAUCUUGCCAACGUUUUCCACCCCUUGGUCUUUUGCCAUUUCUGAAGAAGCUGGUGAUUUCAAGGUGUUAUAAGAUAGUGAUAAUUGAUGAUGAUUUUCAUGGGAACAACUCUUGUUCAUUUAAAUCCCUAGAGACAUUGGCGUUCUCCUUUAUGGAACAUUGGGAAAAAUGGGAAUGCCAAGCUAUGACAGGCGCUUUUCCACGUCUACAAUACCUUUCAAUAACGGUUUGCCCAAAGCUGCAGUUGGAGUGGAGUACAAUGAAAAGACUCAGAAUGGAUGGGUCCGACACUUCUCUUCAACACUUGGACAUUUAUUCAUUCCCAAAGGCAAUGAGUGAUGACUAUCUCUCUCCAAGUACCUUUCCACUACAUUUCUUCCCAAAACUCAGGACGCUUGAACUCUAUGAGUUCCUUAAUCUACAAAUGAUAUCACAGGGUCUCAUUUGUAAUCAUCUAGAAGAGCUGGAAAUCAGAAGAUGCCAUAGAUUUGAAUCAUUGCCUAGAAACAUGCAUACGCUACUUCCAUCCCUCAGGAGGCUACGGAUAGAAGACUGUCCAAGACUUGAGAGUCGUUCCCCGAUGGAGGUUUGCCAUCGAAUCUAGAAGAGCUGAAAAUCAUUAAGUGUUAUAGACUUGUUGGCUCACUGAAAGGAGCUUUUGGAAACAGUUCUUCUUUGCAAAACUUGUGUAUUGAACAAAUGGAUGCAGAAUGUUUUCCUGAUGAAGGUUUGCUUCCACUCUCUCUUACUUCUCUAUCCCUCUAUCAUUGUCCAAAUCUAGAGAAACUGGAUUACAAGGGUCUCCAUCAACUCUCAUCUCUCAAAAGAUUGAUUCUUUUUUACUGCCCCAAUGUCCAAUGCUUACCAGAUGAGGGUCUUCCCAAAUCAGUUUCAAAUCUUCAUAUAAGUGAGUGUUAUUGGCUGAAACAGCGUUGCCAAAACGAAGGCGAAGACUGGGAAAAGAUUACUCACAUUAAAGAUGUGUACAUGGAGUAGUGAUGUUUGUUUUGAACACUGAUGCAUGGCUACAAUUUAUUUUUCUUUUGAAUGUGUGUCAAUUGUAGUAGUGCCAUGACCAUCAGUUCAUUCCCUAAGUUUAUCAUUGUUGUUUCGUGCCCUGGGGUAUGUUAGGAUCAUAGAGGGUAAGGAGGGAACCAUGUAUCUGGUUUAUCUGUUAUAUCAGUUUUAUAUGUUAAGCUGCAGCUACACAUGCAGGGUCCCUUAAGAGGAUGUAUCUGGUUUGAGUAGUUUAUCUUCAUGUGUAAAUGCUAGCUAAAUGGGGUCUUUAUAAAAGGGUUUAAGUGUGCCCUUUUUAAUUUAAUUUAUUCUUUGUGGAUAAAAAAAAACUUUAACUGAUAUCUACUUUUUUUUUACCAUUAUCUAGGAAGGAUUUUCAAGAUUAUGCGGAACUUUGUUUUAAAGAAUUUGGAGACAGGGUAAAACAUUGGAUUACAUUAAAUGAACCAUGGACCUUUAGUAAAUAUGGGUAUGCUGAUGUUAUUUCACCAUCUGGAAGAUGUUCAACCUGGCAAAACUUUAUCUUGUGCUAAUGGUGAUUCAGCCACUGAACCCUACAUAGUGAGUCACAAUCAAUUACUUGCUCAUGCAGCUGCUGUCAAUGUCUAUAAGACAAAAUAUCAGGUUCAAUUACAACUUUUGUAUUUUGAAAUGCAAUCAGAAUAAGUGUAUUGAUUUCCUUAUUCAAUCAAAGAGUCAUAAUAAACUAGUCCUAAACUUAAAUUUUGCUUCAUGUAUGUACGUGUCUCAAAAGGGUGUGAUAGGGAUAUCACUGUCAUGUCAUUGGAUAGUACCACUCUAUUAUACAGAGUCCGAUCACCACCUUGGUUUUAUAUUUGGAUGGUAACUACUUUAUGAACCUAAAUUCUAAUGUGGAGCUCAAGUAUAGUAUGAUAGUGAUUCUAUAUUAUUUUGUCAUUUUAAUUCAAUAUAUUGUAGGAGAAAGAUUCAAAUCUUGUCACACAAUGAGGCCUCAUGAUAUAAUAUGUUUUCCUCCAUAACAAUUUAACACUGGAAUGUAAUAGAAUGUGUGUGUACUUAGAAAAAAUUACUUUCAUUUUAUGAUUAGUCAGAGACAUAAAAAUUAAAGGGACAAAAGCUUGAUAUAGUGGUCAGAUAAGAACACAAAACUUAUCAUGAAGAACACCCAAAGAGCAGUCCAAUCCAUGACAGGUUAUUCAGAUGAAAAAUCCUACAAUAAAUACAUAUUAUCUACUCAACUAUAUAUAAUGCUAUGAUUAAACUAAUAAUCCCAAUAACUAAUUUAUUCAAAUACUGUAUUGUAGGUUUAAAAAACGACCUCAUUUUGGUAAUAAGGGGCAAAAGAGAUUGCCUCAGUUUCGUACAAAAACCGAUAAAUGAGAUUAUAACUAUAUGAUACCAUUCAAACUAUCUUUGUUAUUCUAAUCCAUCAUUUUAAUUUAGUUAUAUAUAUAUGUUUGAGGUGCAACACAAAUUGCAGCUGAUGAAUCAAAAUCAAGUAUUUAUAUUGUUAAUUUUUGUUUUUAGUAGAGAAUGAUGUAGAAUAUUGACAGGUGAGCGUAAUGGAACACCUACUGGUAAAAUGGUAAGUUUGUAAUUACAUUUUAUUGAAAGUGCAACUACAUAUCAGUGCUUCAUUUCAAUUAGUUUUUCAAUGAAGAAAAGGAAAGUUGUAUUCUGCAGACUACUUCAAAAUGGUUGCAUGUUUGUCCGAAAGGAAUUCAUGAUCUGUUGCUGUAUAUCAAAACAAAGUAUAACAACCCUUUGAUCAACAUCACUGAAAAUGGUAAUGUAGCAGUUGAGUUUAAUCAUGAAAUUUUCAUUUAUCAAAGUUUAAAUCAUUGAAGUAAGAGAGAGAAUUGAUAUAAUGUGUUUUUCCUUCUCAUACUGAUAUAUGUUAAAGAAACAAUUUAUUCACUUGUGUAUAUAGGUAUAGAUGAAUUCAAUGAUCACACUCUAUCACUUGAAGAAGCCUUAGCAGAUACUUCAAGAAUUGAUUACUUUUAUGAUCACCUCUAUUAUCUUCAAAGUGCAAUCGAGUAAGUACUUUACACCAUGUUCAAAAUGUGCUAAGGGCAGAAAAAAGCUUCCUAAUUAUAUGAUGAUAAUGUAUUACUUUUUUGUUUGAUUUUAUUAGGAAUGGCGUGAAUGUGAAAGGAUAUUUUGCAUGGUCUUUAACUGACAGCUUCGAAUGGAAUUUAGGGUACAUUUCAAGGUUUGGAACAAUCUUUGUAGAUUACCAUAACCUCAAAAGAUAUCCAAAGUUAUCUGCCAUUUGGUUUAGAGAUUUCCUACAAGGCAAAAUAGAUACAUAUGACAAUUAAUUGCUGCUAAACUCUAUCUAUUACUCCAUUUUUUAAAAUGACAGAGUUUCUAUUAGCCCAUAAAACCCAUAUAACUGCCAUCCACACUCCUUGUUGGUAUACCCUUCUUUAUUAUUCCUGGGAAACUUUAUUUCUAUGUCUCCUCAUAUUUAAUCUCCAACUGUUUCGGUAUGGAUGGGGUCUACGUUAAUGAAUUCUCAUCAUGUUCCAUCUUUGUCUCUUUUUUUUUCUGGUUUGAUGUUGCCUUUCUUUAUCAAGUUGGGGACCAAGUUUAUUAAAUAUAACACGUUUUGUAUUAAUUUCUCACUUCAACUUUUCGAAUACGUGCAUAUAAGUUAAAAAUCUAGGAUGUUUUUGUUCUCUGGAAGGUCCUUUUUACUCACCUUUGAGGCUGCAAAAUCAAAAGGGAAUCUACCCACUUGCAUAUCAACCCUUACAGCUGCUCCAAGCCACAUGUCAUGUACCAAAAGGUGUGGUCAUCACUGCUGUAACACUUUAGCAGCAGUGAUUUAUUUACACAAGCUUCAACUUAUGUAGGAAAACAUACUUAGACCUAUCAAACCAGCUUCAACCAGUAACAAGAAGUUCUACUGUAAAAUUUGAUUUACUUCUUAAAUGAAAAGUCUAGGUUUAAAAGCUUCAAUGCCCAUGUUGAAAAAGAAGUUAGUAUAUGUAUUACUUGUUUGAGAACAGAUAGAAGUGAUGUUCACCUCAAACAGUUAGAGUAAGUUGCAAACCAAAGGGCUAUCAAUUGUUUGAUCCAAUAUCCUAGAAAGUCAUGCCUACUGUAUCCAUCUUUUACCUGUGAUCUUAAUAAUGACAAAGAUGUUAAGAAGUGGGCUUUAACGUACUAUGAAAGACUCUAAUCUUUAGUCGAUGUGGGAUCUCCAACACACCCCUCCAACUCGUGCGUGGAAAUAUAUGUUAUGGGUGGUCCGAUAACCAUGACUCUGAUACCAUCUUACGAAGUGGACUUUAAGCCUAACUCAACCUCAUAAAACUGGCUCAAUGAGGUGAGGUUUGUAUCCACUUAUAUACUAUGAAAGACUCUAAUCUCUAGUCGAUGUGAGAUCUCCAACACACCCCUCACGUCGAGGCUACCAACUCGUGCGCGGAGAUAUAUGUUAUGGGUGGUCCGAUUACGGUCCAAUAGCGGAUGACCUGCUAAACCCAACAAAUAUUCGCUAGAAUAGGCUCCAAAUUAAUUUGGUCAAUUAACCUUUCUGAUGGAGUGUAGGAAGCAAAUGUAAUGAUGGAGGAAGCCAAAUGUUGUAGGAAGAAACACCCUAUAUUAUAUUGUACAAUAUUAUAGAAACAGAGAAACUUAUACAUUUUUGCUUUAUCUUUGAUUGUACAGGUCUGAUGCAAAACAAGUAAAACGUGUUAAUUGGAAUAGAAGAACAGAUUGAAGAUAAGGUGAUGUCGACAGCUCUGCAUAGUUAGGUAGUGCCUUUAUGUUUAAAACUAAUAUAUAAAGUAGUAGUUUGAAAAUAGAAAAUUACCCUUUUAUUAUAUUUUAUUUAAAAAUAUGUUAAGAUUUUAGUUGGUUUCCUUUAACUUCUUCCAUUAAAACAAAUCUUUCCUUAUAAUUAUGAUUAUGAUUAUGGUUAUCUUUCCUUUCUUUUAUCUUGAUUUUCAAAUCAGAUUUCUCCAUUAUUUAUUUGCAAAUACAGGUGGUGGAUUUUGUAUAAAAAUAAAAUUUAGUUUUAAUAUAUAUUAUAUUUGCAAUAGACUUCAUUAGUUAAAUUCGUAUAUAUAUUAGUGCACACAUCUGGAAUGAGAGUGAAAAAACUAUGAAGAUUGUAGCUAUGGUAUUGAGUUGGAAUCUUCUCUCUGGUGUUUUGCUGCUUAUGCUAUCAGUACCAAUCUGCAUUGAAGGUUCAGUUUCAAUUUUUUCCACUGAUGAUUUUAGGAGUACAUCUCUCAACAGAAGCAGUUUUCCAAAAGGUUUUAUAUUUGGGGCAGGAUCAUCUUCUUAUCAGGUUCUUCCAAAACAGUGAUACUUUUUUUAUAUUUUGAAACUUUUUUUUAUAAACAUCUACUGAAAUAUUGUAAACUUUAGAGAAAGUUUCACAGGGAGCGUAUUUCUUGUAAAUUUCUGUAAAAAGUAUGUAGGAAAAGUUUCACAAAUCGUCGAAAUUUUGCAAUAAUCUUUAAGUUUGAAAGAGAUUAAUUAAUUGCCAUAUAAACUAGUGUGAAGGUGCAGCAAAUGUUGGUGGCAGAGGACCAAGCAUAUGGGAUACAUUCACUCAUACUCACCCAGGUUUUAUUUUUUUCCUUGCUUAUAGUACAAUCCAUGUUCACUGUAAUUUUUUUUAGUGUGUUCAAUUAUAGCUUGUUGUGUAUGGUAAUUUAUUGAGUUUAUAUUAUUGUAUUAAAAUGUAAUGUAGUUUUGAUAGAGUUUUCUAAUUAUUACUAUGUUCUUGAUCUGCCAGAGAAAUGUCUGUAGUUACAAAUUCUAGCAUAUUUUGUUUGAAACAUGACAGAUAAAAUACUGGACGGAAGUAAUGGAGAUGUUAGCAUUGAUCAAUACCAUCGUUAUAAGGUAUGAUAAUAAGGACCCUUUAAUACUUAAUAUGUGGUGAAGCAAUAAAAUAAAGCAUACUUGAAAUUCUUUUCAUGACUAAUAACACAGGAAGAUGUUGAAAACAUUAAGGAAAUGAACAUGGAUGCUUUCAGAUUUUCAAUCUCUUGGUCCAGAAUACUUCCAAGUAAGAAACAGGAAACUAUAUAUGAGCUUCUCUUUCUUAUAAUUUUGUACAUUAGUACUCCUUAAUCAUAGCAAUAAAAAAUAUGUAUUGUAUAAAUUGAUGGCUAUUAUUUAAAUCUUAGAUUCUUUGGCUAAUUUCAGAAGGAAAGGUUAGCGGAGGUGUGAACAAGGAAGGAAUCAACUAUUACAACAACCUCAUUAAUGAACUGUUAGAUAAAGGUUAAUAUGUAGAUAACUAUAUUUUUUAAAUUUCAUUUUCUCUAAUUUAGUUUUGAAAUUGAAACAAGUAACUCAAUUUACUGACAUCCAUAAUGCAGGUCUUAAACCCUUUGCGACCCUUUUUCAUUGGGACCUUCCUCAAGCCUUAGAAGACGAAUAUGAUGGUUUUUUAAGUCCUAAUAUAGUGUAACUCACAUUUCUUAUAUCUAAUAAUCAAAAUAUAUUAUUUGUGAGAACAUUCUCUAACUAAUAUCUACUUUUUUAUCAUUAUCUAGGGAUGAUUUUAAAGAUUAUGCAGAACUUUGUUUUAAAGAAUUUGGAGACAGGGUAAAACAUUGGACUACAUUAAAUGAACCAUGGACCUUUAGUACAUAUGGGUAUGCUGAGGCUGCUUUCCCACCUGGAAGAUGUUCAACCUGGCAAAACUUAUCUUGUACUGCUGGUGAUUCAGCCACUGAACCCUACAUAGUGACUCACAAUCAAUUACUUGCUCAUGCAGCUGCUGUCAAUGUCUAUAAGACAAAAUAUCAGGUAAGGUUUAAUUACAUAUUUUGUAUUUUGAAAUGCGAUCAGAAUAAGUGUAUUGAUUUCCUUAUUCAAUAAAAGAGUCAUAAUAAACAAGUCCUAAACUAAAAUUUUGCUUCAUGUAUGUAGGUGUCUCAAAAGGGUGUGAUAGGGAUAUCGCUGGCAUGUCAUUGGAUAGUACCACUCUAUGAUACAGAGUUGGAUCAGUUUGCUGCAGAAAGAGCCCUUGAUUUUUUAAUCGGAUGGUAACUACUUUAUGAACCUAAAUUCUAUGUGGAGCUCAACUAUAGUAUGAUAGUGAUUCUAAAUUAUUUUGUCAUUUUAAUUCAAUAUAUUGUAGGAGAAAGAUUGAAAUAUUGUCACACAAUGAGGCCUCAUGAUAUAUUAUGUUUUCCUCAUAACAAUUUAACUCUGGAAUGUAAUAGAAUGUGUGUGUACUUUGAGAAAAUUACUUUCAUUUUAUGAUUAGUCAGAGACAUAAAUAGUUUAAUUAAAGGGACAAAAGCUUGAUAUAGUGGUCAGAUAAGAACACUAAACUUAUGAAGAACACCAAAAGAGUAGUCCAAUCCAUUACAGGUUAUUCAGAUGAAAAAUCCUACAAUUAAUACUGAUUAUCUACUCAACUAUAAUGCUAGGAUUAAACUAAUAAUAUGUAUAACUAAUUUAUUCAAAUACUGUAUUGUAGGUUUAUGGAGCCAAUGACAAUUGGAGAAUACCCUAAAUCCAUGCAAUCUCUGGUAGGGAGUCGAUUACCAAAGUUUUCUGCUGAUGAGAUCAAACUUGUAAGAGGGUCCUUUGAUUUUAUUGGAAUAAACUACUAUACUUCUUAUUAUGCUUCUGAUACACCUGAGUUAAGUGAAGCAAGGCCUAGCGCCCUCACAGAUUCUCUUGUUAUUCUUACAAGUAAGUGCUCCUUAAUAUCUAUCUCAUUAUUGACUAUAUAUAGACUUUAACGUAUGAAAGAAGAUAAAUGACCGAAUUUGUACGAAACUCAUACAAUUUUUACCUCUGUAAUGGGUCGUCAUUUAAAAUAUUACGAGGUUGGAAAAUUCAUGCCAACAUGACAUGACUUUAUUAUGAAGAAAUCGUAGGAAAAAUACUAUGACUUUUGUUAUGUCAAUGUGAUGUCAUGUCAAGGUGACACGACUUCAAUUCAAAAUGAUUACAUAAAAGUCGUGUCACCUUAUACAAUUUCAAAUUUUCUUCACAAUAAAAUCAUACCAUAUUUGCACGACUUCUCCAACCUUGUAGUAUUUUAAAAAACAACCCCAUUUUAGUAAUAAGGGGCAAUGAUUGCCUCAGUUUCUUACAAAAACCGAUAAAUGACAUUAUAACUAUAUGAUACCAUUCAAACUAUCAUUGUUAUUCUAAUCCAUCAUUUAAUUUAGUUAUAUAUAUGUUUGAGGUCAAACACAAAUUGCAGCUGAUGUAUCAAAAUCAAGUAUUUAUAUUGUUAAUUUAUGUUAUUAGUAGAGAAUGAUGUAGAAUAUUAACAGGUGAGCGUAAUGGAAUACCUAUUGGUAAAGUGGUAAGUUUGUGAUUACAUUUUAUUGAAACUGCAACUACAUAUCAGUGCUUCAUUUCAAUUAGUUUUUCAAUAAAGAAAAGGAAAGUUGUAUUCUGCAGAGUACUUCAAAAUGGUUCUAUGUUUGUCCAAAAGGAAUUCAUGAUCUGUUGCUGUAUAUGAAAACAAAGUACAACAACCCUUUGCUCUACAUCACUGAAAAUGGUAAUGUAGCUGUUGAGUUUAAUCAUGAAAUUUUCAUUUAUGAAUGUUUAAAUCAUUGAAGUAAGAGAGAGAAUUGAUAUAAUGUGUUUUUCCUUCUCAUACUGAAACAAUUUAUUCACUUGUGUAUAUAGGUAUAGAUGAAAUCAUUGAUGAAACUCUAUCACUUGAAGAAGCCUUAGCAGAUACUUCAAGAGUUGAUUACUUUCAUGAUCAUCUCUAUUAUCUUCAAAUUGCAAUCGAGUAAGUGCUUUACACCAUCUUCAAAAUGUGUUAAUGCCAGAAAAAAGCUUCCUAAUUAUAUUAUGAUAAUGUAUUACUUUUUUGUUUUGAUUUUAUUAGGAAUGGCGCGAAUGUGAAAGGAUAUUUUGCAUGGUCUUUAACUGACAACUUCGGAUGGAGUUUAGGGUCCAUUACAAGGUUUGGAACAAUCUUUGUAGAUUACCAUAAUCUCAAAAGAUAUCCAAAGUUAUCUGCCAUUUGGUUUAGAGAUUUCCUACAAGGCAAAAUAGAUACAUAUGACCAUUAAUUGCUGCUAAGAAAAUUAAUUUCAACAAUGUAUUUGUACGGAUCAAAUCAUCAUACUUCUAUUCUUCAAUUUAUGUGUCAAUAAUGUAAAAGUAUGGUUUUGUUAGUGUCUAUUUUGAGUUGGAAUCUUCUAUGGAUUUAUAUGGGAAAGAACAUUAUUAUUAUUAUUAUUAUUAUUAUUAUUAUUAUUAUUUAGAUUAGGCUGACACUCUAGGUUUCAGCAAUUUAUAUUACGAAAAUCUAUAUUAACAAGAGAUAAUAAAGUCAAAGCUAUAAAAAUUAUAAAUUGUUUGUUUUAAAUUAUAUUCUUUAUCUCAAUUUUUUUUAAAUAAAGAAUGUAGAAUUCUUAUUUAUAAGUUCAUUCCAAGAUCAAAUCUCUUUUCUUAAUUGAUAUAAGUAACAAGUAUUACAUUCUGGCUGGUUUUAUUAUUUAUCAUUAGCCCUUCUAAGUUCUUUUUCAUUAGGACUACUGUUGGCUCUUUUUCCUAAAUAGGCUACAAAUCUCAUGUACUCUAAAAUAUGAAAUGAUAAAAAUUGUUCUUCAACAUUUUUAAACUUUAUUAUACGCGCAGUAAGAUUUUAUCCCUUGGAGAAAAACUUUCAAAAGGAAUUGAACAUAUAUAUUUUCAGAAACCUUUUCAAAAUAUGAGAUUAUCAACAUGAAAUACACUAUUAAGAAGAACUCAGAGUUCAUGCAUAGAUAUGCUUUUGGACUCAUCAUCAAAUUGUUCAUUAAUGUUUAAGGAAGAUAUAUUGUCGGUUAUUUUGGAUUUGCCUUGACAAAACAAACAAUAUAAGCUUAUUUGCAUAAAAUUUUCCAUAAAUAAUUGCAAGACAAAAAAUUAUACAGAAAAAAAUAAUGCAAUAAGCAUUUUCAAAAGUUAAAAUUUUCUCUUAGCUAGUUAAAAGUCAAAUUUCAAAUCAGCUAAUAAAAGAAGUUUAUGCAAAUUUGAUUGUGCACAAACUAACUUCAAUUUUGAAGAAACUUAUUUUUGUCUUGAAAAGAACUACUUUUGACAUACAACUACUGAUAUCCUUAUUAAAGUUUUGUCAUGGACUUUGGUUCAUUAACAAUGGGGGAAGAAAUUCAGGUUCAACUUUUUCUAGUUUGUAUGUAUCAACCCUCAAGAAUGGUUAAAGAUUUCAAGACUAGCAGAACCAACUAUAAUGCUUAGGAAAACAUAUUCAAAGAUGCUGGAGUACAAUUUACCUAUGGAACAAUUAUCAUAAUGCUUGUACUAUGCAUAUACAUGGAUUGUUUUGGACACCAAUUUUGGAAUAUCCAAUCAUUAUGCUCUAUUACAGAUAAACUACCUCUCCGAAGGAUCUUUUGUAUAAGAGUUAGAAAUUUUAGACACCAAUUUUGGAAUAUCCGUCAUUAUGUCAAAUGUGUUUUUUAGUUAGACAAUUUGUUCUCUAUGACAGAGAAACUACCUCUUUGGAACAUAUUUUGUAUAAGAGUUAGAGCACUACUGAAUGUUCUGUUUUUAAUAUAUUUAUUCAUUCUUAAAACUCUCAAGAAUGCAUAAUGUUUUGCUUUUCCCGACUUGAAUAAUUUGAAUAUGUAGAUUGUAGCAAACAAUGGAAAUUAUAGGAGACUUGGAUUGACAUGAUGGUGCGUAGAAUGAACAUGCUGAAUGUCAACAUUUAUGCAGGGAAACUACUGAUCUCUGUUUUGGUAGUGCUGGUAUUUUGUGUUAGCUCUCAUCAUUGUUACACCAUUUUUAUUCUGCAUUUGUCUCCUUAUAGGAGCUUAUGUCAUAGAUCAUAUGCUGAAUCAUAUUCCUUAUGCAUGUUUUAAGAUUUCUUCUUCUUCCUUUUAAUAAAUACUCUUGUAUUUCAAAAUUUUAAAACAUGUAACAAUGUUAGAACAACUUAUACUAGUUAUAAAUAUUUGGAUCUAAAGUCAGACUGGGAUUUGGACCAAAGCGCUGAUGAUCUAGCCAAAGAAAGGAAUGCAACUGUAUUGUAUAUAGUUAGAAUUUUUGGACAUAGUUGGAAUUUUUGGAAUUUUUUCUGUGUUUUAGUAUUUUAGAAAAACAGAAAAAUGAGUUUUGAUGUGGUUGGUGAGAAUGGAUGGAAUUUAGAAGGAAAAUUAGAGGAGUAGAAAAUUGCAACAGAAUUUAAUGAAUAUGAUGGAAACAAAAUGAUGGCUACUCAUUCAUUGAUGGACAACAGCUGUGAAGGUUUGUGUUGAGUGGUGACCUUAAACUAAACCAUCAUUCAUAACAAAACAUCUUCUUACUACUCUUCUCAUCAUCACUCAUAUCUCUCCACUAACUCUUUUCCAUUCACAUUUUCUACCAUGGCUGCUGAAUUCAUUACCAAUGCUCUUGUCUCCACCUUCGUUGAGACCACCAUUGACAAUUUGGCUUCUCGUUUUGGAGACAUAUUUCGUGGAAAAAAAUACAAGGAGCAGCUAACCAACUUGAAGCUGAAGCUCCUAGCACUUGAUGUUGUGACUGAUGAUGCAGAACAGAAACAAUUCACAGAUCCACGUGUCAGAGAAUGGCUUCUCUCAUCUAAGAGCUUCGUGAUUGAUGCAGAGGAUCUCUUGGAUGAAAUAGAUAAUGCACUCUCCAAAAGCCAAGUGGAAGCUCAGUCUCAGGGUGCUAUUAAAAAGGUAUUCAAUUCCCUCAAAUUUUCUUUUGUCAGUUUCUUUAAAGAAAAUGAAAUUGAAACAAGGAUAGAACAAAUCAUUGCGGUCUUAGAAGAUCUUGAAAACCGCAGCAAAAUUCUAGACUUGAAAAAGACUGAUGAUGUUGGGGUCAGAUCCGGUAGUAGAUUAUCAUCUACAUCUUUGCCAAACGAAACUGAUAUCUAUGGCAGAGAACAUGACAAACAAUUUGUCUUUAACUGGCUCACAUCCGACACUCACAACAACCUAUCAAUACUUUCUAUUGUGGGAAUGGGAGGGGUGGGUAAGACCACUCUUGCUCAACAUGUAUUCAAUGACCCAAGGAUGGAUGAAACUAAUAAAUUUGAUGUCAAAGCUUGGGUUUGUGUUUCAGAUGAAUUUGAUGUUUUCAAGGUAUCAAAAACAAUUCUUGAGCAUGUUACUAAACCCACUGAUGAUGACACUAGAGAUCUGGAGAUGGUUCACAGAAGAUUAAAAAAAGAAUUGACGGGGAAGAAAUUUUUUCUUGUUUUGGAUGACAUUUGGAACGAAAACCAACCUAAAUGGGAGGAAGUGCGAAAGCCCCUUGUUUUCGGAGCCCAAGGGAGUAGGAUUCUAGUGACUACACGUAGUAAGGAAGUUGCUUCUACCAUGCGGUCUGAGGAACACUCCCUAGAACAACUACAAGAAGAUGAUUGUUGGAAGUUGUUUGCUAAACACGCAUUCCGAGAUGAUGAUACUCAACCCAAUCAAGAGUGCAGGGAGAUUGGCAUGAAGAUUGUUAAAAAAUGUAAAGGACUACCUCUUGCCUUAAAAGCAAUGGGAAGCAUGUUAUAUAACAAAUCGUAUGUUUCAGAGUGGCAAACUGUAUUCCAAAGCGAAAUAUGGGAAUUUUCAAAAGAGCGUUGUGAUAUUAUUCCCGCUUUAGCAUUGAGCUAUAUUCACCUUCCUUCCCAUCUCAAGGUAUGCUUUGCUUACUGCGCCCUAUUCCCCAAGGAUUAUGAGUUUGUAAAGGAAGAUUUGAUUCAGUUGUGGAUGACUGAAAAUCAUUGUCGUCAACAUAGGACUCCAGAAGAAGUUUGCCAACAAUACUUCAAUGAUCUACUAUCAAGGUCCUUUUUCCAACAAUCACAUGAAAAAUCACAUGAAUAUAAAGAAGUAUUUUUCAUGCAUGACCUUCUACAUGAUUUGGCAAAAUAUGUCGGUGGAGGCCUAUACUUCACGUGCGAACUUGAUCAAACAGAAAAGAUGUAGAAAGUAACUCGUCAUUUUUCAUUUGGUUACUCCCGAGGUUCUGAUAGGUUUGGAACUUUAUGUAAUGCAGAAAGCUUACGUACAUUUGUGUCGAUACAUAGUUUCUUUGGGGGUUUCAAAAUGUCGAUACAUGAAUUGUUCUCCAAGUUUAAGUUCAUACGAAUCUUAUCUCUGUCUCAUUGUUCUGACCUUCAAUGGUUACCUGACUCUGUUGCCAAUCUUGAGCAUCUUCGUUCCUUAGACCUAUCCAAUACUGACAUAAAAAGACUAAAUGAAAAGAUAUGUUUACUCUCCCACUUGCAAAUACUGAAGUUGAACUAUUGUAAAGUUUUGAAGCAGUUGCCUUCAAAUUUGUAUUUACUCACCAAUUUGUGUCGCCUUGAGUUUAAAGGAACUAAAGUGACGAAGGUGCCACCGUAUUUGGGGAAACUGAAGAAUCUUAAAAUAGUAAUGGGUUCCUUUAAUGUUGGCCAUGAUAGGGAGUUGGGUAUUCAACGGCUAGGAGAGCUCAACCUUGAGGGAAGUCUAAUAAUUCAGGGGCUGCAGAAUGUUGAGAAUUCCCUGGAUGCAUUAGAAGCAGAUUUGCAGAAUAAAACACACCUUGUGGCGCUGAAGUUGGCAUGGGAGUCUGAUCAGAAUUCUAAUGAUUCAAAUGAUCGGAACUCUAAUGAUUCCAAAAAGGAAGAAGAGGUAAUUGAGAAUCUGCAACCUUCCAAAAACUUAAAGAAGUUGUCAAUCUGUAGGUAUGGUGGGAAACGAUUUCCAAAUUGGUUACUAGAAAAUUCACUGUGGAAUAUGACGUCCGUAGUGUUGGAAGAAUGUAAAUCUUGUGAACGUUUACCUCCCCUUGGACUUUUGCCAUUUCUGAAGUUCUUGAGGAUUAGAAACCUUGAUGGGAUAAUGACAAUUGAUGGUGAUUUUUAUGGUAGCAACUCUUGUUCAUUUAAAUCCCUUGAAACAUUGGACUUCUUAUUUCUGAGUCGAUGGGAAAAGUGGGACUGCCAAGCUGUGGGUGCUUUUCCACGUCUGCGAAGGCUGCACAUAGCAUAUUGUAAGAAGUUGAAAGGACAGCUACCAGAGCAACUUAAUCCUUUGGAAACACUACGAAUUAUAUACUGCCCACAACUUCAGACUUCUGCUCCUAGGGCUCUAGAUUUAGAACUAUAUCACUAGGGAGAGCUGCAGUUAGAGUGGGGUCCAAUGAAAAGGCUCACAGUGGAUUCUAUCUAUGAUGAUUGGCUCUCUCUACGAAGUUUUCCACUGGAUUUGUGCCCAACACUCAAGAUGCUUAAUCUCAGUAAGAUUGGUAAUCUAGAGAUGAUUUCACAAAGUCUCAUCCAUAAUCAUCUAGAAGAGCUGACACUCAAUUCUUGUCCUAAAUUUCAAUCAUUGCCUGGAAGCAUGCAUUUGCUGCUUCCAUCUCUGAGGGAGUUAUCCAUAAGACAAUGUUCAGGACUACAGGCGUUCCCUGACGGAGGUUUGCCAUCAAAUCUCCAAACUCUGAAAAUACAAGGUUGUUUAGUACUCGAGUCAUUUCCUAAUGAAGGUUGGCCAUCAAAUCUCCAGACUUUAGUAAUAGAAGAUUGUCCAAGACUUAAGUCGUUCUCUGACAGAGGUUUCCCAUCAAAUCUCCAAACUCUGAAAAUACAAGGUUGUUUAGUACUUGAGUCAUUUCUUGAUGAAGGUUUGCCAUCAAAUCUCCAGAGUUUAGUAAUAGAAGAUUGUCCAAGACUUAAGUCGUUCCCCGACAGAGGUCUUCCAUCAAAUCUCCAAACUCUGACAAUACAAGGUUGUUUAGUACUUGAGUCAUUUCCUGAUGAAGGUUGGCCAUCAAAUCUCCAGACUUUAGUAAUAGAAGAUUGUCCAAGACUUAAGCCGUUACCUGAGAGAGGUUUCCCAUCAAAUCUCCAGACUUUGAAAAUUGAAGGUUGUUUAGUACCUGAGUCAUUCCCCGGCGAAGGUUUGUCAUCAAAUCUCCAGACUAUAACAAUAAAAGAUUGUCCAAGACUUAAGUUGUUCCCUCACAGAAGUCUCCCAUCAAAUCUCCAAACUCUGACAAUAAAAGGUUGUUCAGUACUUGAGUCGUUCUCUGACGAAGGUUUCCCACAAAAUCUCAAAACUUUAGAAAUAAAAGAUUGUCCAAGACUUAAGUCCUUCCCUGGCGGAGGUUUACCAUCAAAUCUCAAGAAUCUGACAAUCAGUAAUUGCUCUAGACUUGUUGGCUCACUGAAAGGAGCUUUCACAGACAGUUCUUCUUUGGAAUGGUUGUGGAUUAAAAAAGUAGAUGCAAAAUGUUUUCCUAAUGAAGGUUUGCUUCCACUCUCUCUUACUUAUCUAAGCAUCUCUGAUUGUCCAAAUCUAGAAAAACUGGACUCCAAGGGUCUCCAUCAACUCUCAUCCCUUCAGAUUUUGUAUCUUAAGAACUGCCCCAAUCUCCAACGCUUACCGGAAGAGGGUCUUCCCAAAUCAAUUUCAGAACUUGAUAUUAGUGAUUGUCCUUUGCUGCAAACGAGUUGCCAAAAAGAUGGAGGCGAAGACUGAAAAAAGAUUAUCGAUGAUUGUAUCAAGGAUGUUUCCGAUAGUGAUGAAUAGUGAUGCAUUUGGUGGGUUAGUAAUAUUUGUUUUUGUUUACAAUGUGUUACCUUCUAACAAUUCAUUCCUUUUCCUUUUUACAUUACAAUUACUAGUACAAAAUGCUUUCAACUUUUUAUUGCAACUACUCCUAGGUAGUUUCCUGUAAAUCAUCUAAACUAAAAACUUAAUUCAGACAAAAAUGAGGAUGCCAAAGAUAAUAAAUAUGUGUUGUAAAAAACACUUAUAAAGUAUGCAUAAAAUAAUAAUUUUUUUUAUUAAUUGUCAUAAUUAUAUAAUAAAAACAUUUUUUUUUCAUGAUUAAGAAUGUAUGGAAAUUUAAAAAAAAAUUAAUCAAAAGAAGAAUGCAAAGGAUAGAAAGAGGUAAAAGAAUAUUAAAAGAAAAAAUACAGGUAUCGAAUACUAUUAAAAGAAUAUUAUGAUUGUAUAGCAAUUAUCAUAAUACUAUUAUAUGAAAUUUAAAUUUUAAAUUAUCGAAUAUUUAUUUGUUUUAUGAUAAUUAAUUAAUCAAAGGUAAAAUUCAGCCACUGUAUCAGUAAAGUAUUAGAUGCUUAAUAUAUGACAUUAGCCUAUCACAUUUAAAUGCUUAAUAAAUUAUAGUAUGGAUUACUCAACUUUUUUGAAUCUUAAGUAUCCUGUGUUGUUCAAAUUCAGAGACAACAGCAGACGUAACCUUACCUAAUUGUCUCCAAAACAGAGAAAGAGGGAACUCAAAAUUCAUUUCAAAGUUCAUUUCAAUAUUCGAUAUACCUGCAUAAUGACACUUGUUUAAGGCAAUGUUAUGCUUGCUUAAUUCAGGAAGUGUGAUUCAAACUAGUAUGUAUAUAUAUCAAACUCACUUUCCAAAUGGAAAAACAAACUCAUCAAUCACACAAAAAUGAUUGAUUGUGAAAGUGGAUGCAGAAUAUUUUCCUGAUGAAGGUUUGCUUCCAUUCUCUUACUUCUCUAGCCAUCUCUGAUUGUCCAAAUCUUAAAAAACUGGACGUCUGCAUCAACUCUCAUCUCUCAAAACAUUGGAACUUCAAAACUGCCCCAACCUGCAAGGCAUACUCGAGGAGGAUCUUCCCAAAUUAAUUUCACAUUUUUCAAUUCGGGGCAACUGCCCUUUGCUCAAACAGGGUUACCAGAAAGUUGGGGAAGACUGGGAAAAGAUUGCUCACAUUCAACAUCUGAAUAUAUAUUAGUGAUGAUGUUUCUUAAGAAUUUUCAUGAAACUUCUACGUGUACGUGCUUGGAUUUUAGCUCCUAAAUGUACUUGUAUACUUGAAGGGCUUGUUGUAUAUGUGCCUGACAUAAAGACAAACCUGUUGAGUUUAGGCCAACUGCUGCAUAAAGGAUUUGUCAUGACAAUGGACGAUAAUUGCCUUAAGAUGUUUGACAAAAAUCACAAACUUGUCAAAAGCAAAUCAAUCUCUGAACUUAACUUUCAGAUUGGAAUGAAUAUUCUGAAGCAUCAAAGUUUUGCUAUAGUAAAGAAUAAGGUGUGAUAAGGUGGAUUGUAAUGGCAUUUUAGGUUUGGUCACCUCAACUAAAGCCAAUUAUCUUUUCCUUUUUUUCAUCUCGUCCAUAUGAUGCCAACAUACUUCCCCUUAACACCUUUCUUGUCUUGCAUAUCCGCAACCAUCGAUUGAAACAAAUGCACAAUGUUCGGAUCUUUCAUUCCUCGUCAACAAUAAAUAUGUAAAAACAAAUAUAGUAUAAAGAAUAUUAAAUUGUGAAAUAAAAAACCAAUAACUUCUUUGAUAAAAGUUCUAUUUGUACUCUUUAGACAUAAGACAUGACUCACUCCCUAAACAAAAUAGUAAUAAGAAUUUUGAAAGUGGCUGUGAUUUGAGCCUAGAUUCGUCCCACAAGAUUGCCAAUAAAUUUUUCAUUAAUCACUGUCAGGGCUGAAAGAAAUGUUUGGUUGUGUGUGAAACCGUUUGAUUUUUUUUCAUGGGUGAAUACUCACUCGUUUGAACUAAAAUCUGUCACGUUUUGUCCCAAAUUCAGUGGAGAUUGAUACAUGGAAUUUCAGGAAAAAACUAUUUCAGGAGAAUUUUUCAGAAGUUUUGUGCAGACAAAGGCUAUCAUGUACCAAAACUUGUGAAAUUUGCACCCAGGUAAGGAUGCACGUCCAUAAAAAAAUCAAAAAAAGAAGAUACGAGGAAGAAAAGUCAGGAUGUUCUGUUUUCGGAAAACCAGUUUUCUUUAGUCUGGGUCUGAGACUUACUACGCCUUACUCUUUUGGUGUUUUGGUAUAAAAUUUUUACUAGACGUUCGACACUGUGUCUAUUGAGUUUUGGAUAAGAUUUGAGACCUAGAUUCGUCCCACAAGAUUGACAAUAAAUUUUUUAUUGAUCACUGCCAGGGCUGAAAGGAAGGUUCGUUUGUGUGUGAAACUGUUUGAUUUUUUGCAUGGGUGAAUUCUCAUCUGUUUGACCCGAAAUUUGUCGCGUUUCGUCCCAAAUUCAGUGGAGAUUCUGACGUAGAAUUUCGGGAGAAAACUAUUCCGGGAGAAUUUUUCAGAAAUUUUCGUGCAAACCAAGGCUAUAUCCUCUACCAAAACAUGUGAAAUUUCGCCCUACUUUCUGCCAUUUUUAUUCUGCGUCCGUAUUGAGCUGAAAGACUUCACACAAGAACUUUCAUAUGUUGUUUGCACCCAGGUAAGGUGGCACGUCCAUAAACGAACCACAAAAAGAAGAUACGGUGAAAAAAAGCCAAGACGUUUUGUUUUCAGAAAACCAGUUUUGUUCACUCUCGGUCUGCGACUUAGUACCCCUUACUCCUUGGGUGUUUUGGCCUGAAAUUUUGACCAGACGGUCGUCACUAUGUCUAUUGAGUUGUGGCUGAGAUUUGAGCCCCAGAUUCGUCCCACAAGACUGACAAUAAAUUUUUUAUUGAUCACUGCCAGGGCUGAAAGGAAGGUUCGUUUGUGUGUGAAACUGUUUGAUUUUUUNNNNNNNNNNNNNNNNNNNNNNNNNNNNNNNNNNNNNNNNNNNNNNNNNNNNNNNNNNNNNNNNNNNNNNNNNNNNNNNNNNNNNNNNNNNNNNNNNNNNUUCAGUGGAGAUUCUUACGUGGAAUUUCAGGAAAAAUCUAUUUCGAGAGAAUUUUUUAGAAAUUUUAUGCAGACCAAGGCUACCCUAUACCAAAACUUGUGAAAUUUUGCCCCUUUCUGCAAUUUUUGUUCUAAGUCCGUAUCGCGCUGAAAAAAUUCACACAAGUACUUUCAAAUGUUGUUUUCACCCAGGUAAGGAGACACGUCCUAAACAAAUCACAAAAAGAAGAUACAGGGAAGAAAAGCCAUGACGUUUUGUUUUCGAAAACCCAAUUUUGUUCACUCUAGGUCUGAGACUUACUACGCCUCACUCCUUGGGUACUUUGGUCUGACAUUUUUACCACACGUUCGACACUGUGUCUAUUUAGUUUUGCUGAGAUUUAAGGCCCAGAUUCGUCCCACAAGAUUGACAAUAAAUUUUUUAUUGAUCAUUGCCAAGACUGAAAGGAAGGUUCGUUUGUGUGUGAAACUGUUUGAUUUUUUGCGUGGGUGAAUUCUCAUCUGUUUGACCUAAAAUUUGUCGCGUUUUGUCCCAAAUUCAGUGGAGAUUCUUACAUGGAAUUUCAGGAAAAAUCUAUUUAGAGAGAAUUUUUUAGAAAUUUUAUGCAGACCAAGGCUACCCUAUACCAAAACUUGUGAAAUUUUGCCCCUUUCUGCAAUUUUUGUUCUAAGUCCGUAUCGCGCUGAAAAAAUUCACACAAGUACUCUCAUAUGUUGUUUUCACCCAGGUAAGGAGGCACGUCCUAAACAAAUCACAAAAAGAAGAUACAGGGAAGAAAAGCCAUGACGUUUUGUUUUCGAAAACCCAAUUUUGUUCACUAUGGGUCUAGGACUUACUACGCCUCACUCCUUGGGUACUUUGGUCUGACAUUUUUACCACACGUUCAACACUGUGUCUAUUGAGUUUUGCUGAGAAUUAAGGCCCAGAUUCGUCCCACAAGAUUGGCAAUAAAUUUUUUAUUGAUCACUGCCAGGGCUGAAAAGAUGGUUCGUUUGUGUGUGAAACCGUUUGAUUUUUUUUCGUGGGUGAAUACUCAUCCGUUUGAACUGAAAUAUGUCACAUUUUGUCCCAAAUUCAGUGGAGAUUCAUACGUGGAAUUUCACGAAAAAACUACUUCAGGAGAAUUUUUCAGAAAUUUUGUGCAGACCAAGGCUAUCCUCUGUACCAAAACUUAUGAAAUUUGCACCCAGGUAAGGAGGCACGUCCAUAAACAAAUCACAAAAACAAGAUACGGGGAAGAUAAGUAAGGACAGUUUUGUUUUCGGAAAAGUAGUUUUGUUCAGUCUGGGUCUGGGACUUUCUACGCCUUACUCCUUUGGUGUUUUGGUAUGAAAUUUUUACCACCCGUUUGACAUUGUGUUUAUAAAGUUUUGGCUGAGAUUUGAGCCACAAAUUCGUCCCACAAAAUUGGCAACAAAUUUUUUAUUUAUCACUGCCAGGGUUGAAAGGAAGGUUCGUUUGUGUGUGAAACUGUUUGAUUUUGUGUGUGGGUGAAUUCUCAUCUGUUUGACCUGAAAUUUGUCGCGUUUUGUCCAAAAUUCAGUGGCGAUUCUUAUGUUGAAUUUCAGGAAAAAUCUAUUUCAAGAGAUUUUUUCAGAAAUGUUGUGCAGACCAAGGCUAUCCUCUACCAAAAUCUGUGAAAUUUCGCCCUACUUUCUGCAAUUUUUGUUCUAAGUCCGUAUCGCGCAUAAAAAAUUCACACAAGUACUUUCAUAUGUUGUUUGCACCCAGGUAAGGAAGCACGACCAUAAACAAAUCACAAAAAGAAGAUACGNNNNNNNNNNNNNNNNNNNNNNNNNNNNNNNNNNNNNNNNNNNNNNNNNNNNNNNNNNNNNNNNNNNNNNNNNNNNNNNNNNNNNNNNNNNNNNNNNNNNNNNNNNNNNNNNNNNNNNNNNNNNNNNNNNNNNNNNNNNNNNNNNNNNNNNNNNNNNNNNNNNNNNNNNNNNNNNNNNNNNNNNNNNNNNNNNNNNNNNNNNNNNNNNNNNNNNNNNNNNNNNNNNNNNNNNNNNNNNNNNNNNNNNNNNNNNNNNNNNNNNNNNNNNNNNNNNNNNNNNNNNNNNNNNNNNNNNNNNNNNNNNNNNNNNNNNNNNNNNNNNNNNNNNNNNNNNNNNNNNNNNNNNNNNNNNNNNNNNNNNNNNNNNNNNNNNNNNNNNNNNNNNNNNNNNNNNNNNNNNNNNNNNNNNNNNNNNNNNNNNNNNNNNNNNNNNNNNNNNNNNNNNNNNNNNNNNNNNNNNNNNNNNNNNNNNNNNNNNNNNNNNNNNNNNNNNNNNNNNNNNNNNNNNNNNNNNNNNNNNNNNNNNNNNNNNNNNNNNNNNNNNNNNNNNNNNNNNNNNNNNNNNNNNNNNNNNNNNNNNNNNNNNNNNNNNNNNNNNNNNNNNNNNNNNNNNNNNNNNNNNNNNNNNNNNNNNNNNNNNNNNNNNNNNNNNNNNNNNNNNNNNNNNNNNNNNNNNNNNNNNNNNNNNNNNNNNNNNNNNNNNNNNNNNNNNNNNNNNNNNNNNNNNNNNNNNNNNNNNNNNNNNNNNNNNNNNNNNNNNNNNNNNNNNNNNNNNNNNNNNNNNNNNNNNNNNNNNNNNNNNNNNNNNNNNNNNNNNNNNNNNNNNNNNNNNNNNNNNNNNNNNNNNNNNNNNNNNNNNNNNNNNNNNNNNNNNNNNNNNNNNNNNNNNNNNNNNNNNNNNNNNNNNNNNNNNNNNNNNNNNNNNNNNNNNNNNNNNNNNNNNNNNNNNNNNNNNNNNNNNNNNNNNNNNNNNNNNNNNNNNNNNNNNNNNNNNNNNNNNNNNNNNNNNNNNNNNNNNNNNNNNNNNNNNNNNNNNNNNNNNNNNNNNNNNNNNNNNNNNNNNNNNNNNNNNNNNNNNNNNNNNNNNNNNNNNNNNNNNNNNNNNNNNNNNNNNNNNNNNNNNNNNNNNNNNNNNNNNNNNNNNNNNNNNNNNNNNNNNNNNNNNNNNNNNNNNNNNNNNNNNNNNNNNNNNNNNNNNNNNNNNNNNNNNNNNNNNNNNNNNNNNNNNNNNNNNNNNNNNNNNNNNNNNNNNNNNNNNNNNNNNNNNNNNNNNNNNNNNNNNNNNNNNNNNNNNNNNNNNNNNNNNNNNNNNNNNNNNNNNNNNNNNNNNNNNNNNNNNNNNNNNNNNNNNNNNNNNNNNNNNNNNNNNNNNNNNNNNNNNNNNNNNNNNNNNNNNNNNNNNNNNNNNNNNNNNNNNNNNNNNNNNNNNNNNNNNNNNNNNNNNNNNNNNNNNNNNNNNNNNNNNNNNNNNNNNNNNNNNNNNNNNNNNNNNNNNNNNNNNNNNNNNNNNNNNNNNNNNNNNNNNNNNNNNNNNNNNNNNNNNNNNNNNNNNNNNNNNNNNNNNNNNNNNNNNNNNNNNNNNNNNNNNNNNNNNNNNNNNNNNNNNNNNNNNNNNNNNNNNNNNNNNNNNNNNNNNNNNNNNNNNNNNNNNNNNNNNNNNNNNNNNNNNNNNNNNNNNNNNNNNNNNNNNNNNNNNNNNNNNNNNNNNNNNNNNNNNNNNNNNNNNNNNNNNNNNNNNNNNNNNNNNNNNNNNNNNNNNNNNNNNNNNNNNNNNNNNNNNNNNNNNNNNNNNNNNNNNNNNNNNNNNNNNNNNNNNNNNNNNNNNNNNNNNNNNNNNNNNNNNNNNNNNNNNNNNNNNNNNNNNNNNNNNNNNNNNNNNNNNNNNNNNNNNNNNNNNNNNNNNNNNNNNNNNNNNNNNNNNNNNNNNNNNNNNNNNNNNNNNNNNNNNNNNNNNNNNNNNNNNNNNNNNNNNNNNNNNNNNNNNNNNNNNNNNNNNNNNNNNNNNNNNNNNNNNNNNNNNNNNNNNNNNNNNNNNNNNNNNNNNNNNNNNNNNNNNNNNNNNNNNNNNNNNNNNNNNNNNNNNNNNNNNNNNNNNNNNNNNNNNNNNNNNNNNNNNNNNNNNNNNNNNNNNNNNNNNNNNNNNNNNNNNNNNNNNNNNNNNNNNNNNNNNNNNNNNNNNNNNNNNNNNNNNNNNNNNNNNNNNNNNNNNNNNNNNNNNNNNNNNNNNNNNNNNNNNNNNNNNNNNNNNNNNNNNNNNNNNNNNNNNNNNNNNNNNNNNNNNNNNNNNNNNNNNNNNNNNNNNNNNNNNNNNNNNNNNNNNNNNNNNNNNNNNNNNNNNNNNNNNNNNNNNNNNNNNNNNNNNNNNNNNNNNNNNNNNNNNNNNNNNNNNNNNNNNNNNNNNNNNNNNNNNNNNNNNNNNNNNNNNNNNNNNNNNNNNNNNNNNNNNNNNNNNNNNNNNNNNNNNNNNNNNNNNNNNNNNNNNNNNNNNNNNNNNNNNNNNNNNNNNNNNNNNNNNNNNNNNNNNNNNNNNNNNNNNNNNNNNNNNNNNNNNNNNNNNNNNNNNNNNNNNNNNNNNNNNNNNNNNNNNNNNNNNNNNNNNNNNNNNNNNNNNNNNNNNNNNNNNNNNNNNNNNNNNNNNNNNNNNNNNNNNNNNNNNNNNNNNNNNNNNNNNNNNNNNNNNNNNNNNNNNNNNNNNNNNNNNNNNNNNNNNNNNNNNNNNNNNNNNNNNNNNNNNNNNNNNNNNNNNNNNNNNNNNNNNNNNNNNNNNNNNNNNNNNNNNNNNNNNNNNNNNNNNNNNNNNNNNNNNNNNNNNNNNNNNNNNNNNNNNNNNNNNNNNNNNNNNNNNNNNNNNNNNNNNNNNNNNNNNNNNNNNNNNNNNNNNNNNNNNNNNNNNNNNNNNNNNNNNNNNNNNNNNAUAUUCUUACGUGUACAAGAAAAAAAAACUAUUCCGGGAGAAUUUUUUUAGAAUUUUGUGCAGACCAAGGCUAUCCUCUACCAAAACUUGUGAAAUUUCGCCCUACUUUCUGCAACUUUUAUUUUGGAUGCGUAUCGCGCUGAAAAAAUUCACACAAGUACUUUCAUAUGUUGUUUGCACCAAGGUAAGGAGGCAUGUCCAUAAUCAAAUCACAAAAAGAUGAUACGUGGAAGAAAAGACAGGACGUUCUAUUUUCGGAAAACCAGUUUUGUUCAGUCUGGGUCUGGGACUUACUACACCUUACUCCUUGGGUGUUUUGGUCUAAAAUUUUUACAAGAUGUUCGACACUGUGGCUAUUGAGUUUUGCUGAGAUUUGAGCUCCACAUUCGUCCCACAAGAUUGACAAUAAAUUUUUAGUGAUCACUGCCAGGGCAGAAGGGAAGGUUCGUUGGUGUGUUAAACUGUUUGAUUUUUUUCGUGGGUGAAUACUUAUCCGUUUGACCUGAAAUAUGUCACGUUUUGUCCUAAAUUCCAUGGAGAUUGUUACGUGAAAUUUCAGGAAAAAACUAUUCCGGAAGAAUUUUCCAGAAAUUUUGUGCAAUAAAUUUGUGCUAAAAAAAAAUUCAACGUGUGAAAUAAAUUACAAGAUCUAACUAUAUGGUCUUCAUAAUAGAUGAUUUAAGUGUUUAGAAUGCACUUAGAGAGUUCAUAUUCCAACUUUGUUCACAUGCAUUAUAAUGUAUAUAUUGCAUUUGCCUAAUACUUUUUAUUUUAUUUUAUUUUAUUUUAUUUUCAGGUUUAGUUAUGAAUUAAACAAAUCAUGGUAAGAUUCUCUUAAAAGAGCAAUGUAAAAUGUGAAAAUGAGAGAGGCUUGGCGCAUUGGUUACUCAAAAGAAAAUGAGGUUUAACAAGUGUUGAAAGAUCUUCCCCCAUGUCCAAGGCAAGACCUUUAAGAUUUAUUAGUCUAUUGACAAAAGGAAAGUAUAAAUUACAAUCCAUUAGAAAAAAUAAUUUAUCUUUGUUUCACUAUAACUUUUCCUCUUCACUCAAAAGCUAUCAUUUCUAUUGGUCUAUACUCAAUUGACAUAACUUGUUGACUAGUUUGGACGUGUGCAAUGCUCUUGGAAAGAAAGUAAUUUGAUAUUUUGAACAACUAAUGGUUUCAUGGAAAAAAUUCAGUGUCUGAGAAAUCAUUAUUAAUGAAUUACUGAGUUAUUCAUAUGAAUGAGUACAAAGGACAAAGAGAUUUUUGUGAAACUUGACCGUUUCUUCUGAUGCCGAGUGCCAACCUCUGGCUUCUUAUCAUCAUCUUCAAUGAAAAUUGUGCUAGUCUCAGCACUGAUGAUGCCAUCUUAAUGGUUUUCAUGAAGAGUCAGAGAAUAGCACCAAAAUUGUUUAUCCCCUCUAAAAAUAUUGAGUGGUUUCAGUUUUCUUAGUUCUCCACAACGCUGUUUUUAGCUCUAUAACUCUCAAGCUUAGUACUCAAUGGACUUUAUUCUUUUUGUAAUGAGUUGCAUAGUUCAUAUACUGUUUUUCCCUUCUGAAACAGUCUUCACAGCAGCGGAGACUUCAUCCCUUGCACAAUCACAGUCCCUCAGUUACAGACAGACCUUAGUUUCCCCACGUGGAAUAUUUGAACUCGGUUUCUUCAACCUUGGGAAUCCCAACAAAAUCUACCUCGGAAUCUGGUACAAGAAUAUCUCUCUACAAAACAUAGUAUGGGUUGCAAACAGUGCCAUCCCAACCAAGGACUCUUCUGCCAUCUUGAAACUAAACAGUUCUGGCAAUUUGGUCUUCACACAAAACAACUCGGUUAUUUGGUGCACAGGUUCUGAAGAAAAGGCACAGAAUCCAGUGGUAGAACUCUUGGACUCUGGAAAUCUUGUGAUAAGAGAUGAGAAUGAAGCAAAGGCAGAGGCAUAUCUGUGGCAAAGCUUUGAUCAUCCAUCUAAUACAUUGCUGCCAGGAAUGAAGCUUGGAUGGGACCUCAAAAGAAAUCUUAGUGUUUUCCUGACAGCUUGGAAAAAUGAUGAUGAUCCGAUACCUGGAGACUUAUCUUGGGGCAUUGUUCUGCAUCCUUAUGCUGAGAUGUAUAUGAUGAAGGGACCAAAAAAGUAAUGGAGACUUGGGCCAUGGAAUGGUUUGCGUUUCAGUGGAAGGCCACUUAACACCAUUCACCGUUAUGAGUUUGUCUCCAACCAGGAAGAGGUUUAUUUCAGAUGGAGCCCCGAACAAACUAGUUUAGUAACAAAAGUGGUACUGAACCAAACUGCACAAGGGCGUCAACUUUAUGUAUGGUCAGAGAAAUCAUGGAUUUGGUAUACAACAAUGCCAGAUGACCACUGUGAUAGUUAUGGAGUUUGUGGAGCAAAUACUUAUUGCACCACUUCUGCAUCAGCAAUGUGUGAUUGCUUAAAAGGGUUCAAGCCUAAGUCUCCUGAGAAAUGGAACUCAAUGGAAUGGUCCCAAGGAUGUGUCCCCGAACAUCCAAUUAGCUGCAAAGACAAGUUGGGUGAUGAUUUUUUCUUCAUGGAUGGCUUGAAAGUGCCGGAUACUGAAUAUACGUUUGUGGAUGAGACUAUUGAUUUAAAACAAUGCAGAACCAUGUGCUUGAGUAAUUGUUCAUGCAUGACAUAUACCAAUUCAAAUAUAAGUGGAGCAGGCAGUGGCUGUGUCAUGUGGUUUGGUGAUUUAUUUGACAUCAAACUGUAUUCAAAUCCAGAAAUGGGGCAGCGCCUAUAUAUAAGGUUGAAUCCUUCAAAAUUAGGUAAAUACUUUUGCAGUUUGAUCUUUCUAUUAUUUCUCUCUUCCGAAUUUCAAUCUUGUGAUAGAGAGUUUAAGCUUGGUCCUUCAUAUAUAUGGAAUUGAACUAAUGUUGUUUUAUUUUAUCCAAUUCAACCGUGAAGAGUCUAUCAGGCACAAGAACUCUACAAUGGUAUUUGUAAUCUCCAUUGCUGCAACUAUUGGAGUGAUGCUCUCUGUUUAUUUUGUCUACAGAAGGAACACUACAGGUAAAAUUAUUCUUCUCUUCACAUUUAUAAAAAUUAUAAGUGAAUAGUUCUAUAUAUUAUAUUCUUAAUGGAAAUUCUGCUAUUUGUCCAUUCGCUUGACAAGUGCUGUUAUUGGUCUUAUUGAGCAUUCUCUGAAAUCUUGGUUAACUUACCUUAUAGCAGGGUUCUAUUCAGUGUCUCUUUGACAAAUUUCAUGGUAGUAGAGUUUAAUGAAUUGAACAUAAAAACAAUGACAAAAUUAUCAUGUUUUCUUUUCUCAGAGAAGUCAAAAGCAGAAAUUAGUUAUGACAGUUAUGUGGAUGAGCUAGAUCCCUCAUUACUUGAUUUGUCAAUAAUUAUUGCAGCCAAUGAUUAUUUAUGUGUUUGAUCAAAAUUAACCAUGAAGACCUCUGCCCCAUCAUAGACACAACUAAAGCUAAUAGCUACCACAGUUGGUGCGAUUAGUGGGAAACAUUUUAUUUUGCAUUUUGUCAUAUACUGUUACGACCAAACCAAGAAAAACACACCGAAGAUAAGCCAAGAACACCAAAAUCUACUGAAUAAUUCUUUUUAUUAUUGAUUCUGCACUUUACAUUCAGAACACCCACAAAGAAAAAUAUUAUUCCUUUUACACAGGAUUUCCCUGUCUACCAAACUGAAUACACAAAACAUAACCCCCUUCACCAAACCGGUUGAUUUUUAUUUAAAGACCACUAACCACACUAACCACUACUUUACAAAUCACUAACCGCUAUCUUACCCUUUAUUCCUUACAAGUCCUAUCCUUAUUUUGUGUCCUAACAUAUACAUAGUCCUAAACAUUGCUGCUAUAUCUUUGUGACUAAUAUUAACAUAUCUCUUCUCAUAUAUAUAUAUAUAUAUAUAUAACUGGCAAUGAGGCCUGUAGCUUGUUAUGAUGGGAUUUUCAACUUGCUAAAAAUUAAAGAAAAUGAGUUCAACAAUACAUUUUGUGCCCUUCCCUUAUUGAACAUUACAAAUUUAUCUAUUUAAAUCAGUUCCAAUCCCUCCAUGUUUCAUAAUAUUAUUGAAUGGUUUAUUCUUUUCUUCCUUUUGCAGAUAAGUCAAAGACAAAAGAGAACAUUGAAAGGAAGCUACAUGUUCUGGAUGUGACUUUGUUUGAUCUUUUAUCAAUCACAACCGCCACUAACAAUUUCUCAUUGAAUAAUAAGAUUGGACAAGGUGGUUUUGGACCUGUAUAUAAGGUAAUUCAAUAUUUAAGCACUUAACAGAAAAGAAACAACUAGAGUCCAGAAAUGUAUUGUUAUGAAAAUAUCUUCUGAAAUUAAAUGAAUGCAAUUAUGCAGGGAAAAUUAGUGGGUGAUCGAGAAAUUGCUGUCAAGAGACUUUCAAGUAGCUCAGGACAAGGAAUAACUGAGUUCAUGACAGAAGUGAAUGUGAUUGCAAAGCUUCAACACCGAAAUCUUGUAAAGCUCCUUGGUUGUUGCUUUCAAGGACAAGAAAAGUUACUAGUAUAUGAAUACAUGGUUAAUGGCAGCCUAGACACCUUUCUUUUUGGUAUGUAAUAUGAGGAAUGCUUAGGAUUGAAUUCUUUUUAGGUAAACUUUCACACAAGCACUUUUUGGAGAGAAAAAAAAUAAAUCUACUUUAAAAUUACUAUAUGUAAAAACUAAUUUAUAGAAUUUCUCUCAUUUAACUUCUCAAAAAUUAUAUUUGAACUUGUAUAAGUUAGUUUUAGAUACCUUUUUUUUCAUAAUUUCUUCUUCUAGAAGUGGUUACAAAUAAAUUUACUGAACAGCCCUAUCAGUCAUAUUUUUGCAGCUAUCUAAUGUUGAACAACAUAUGUUUGUGGAAUAAAAAAACAGAUAAAAUAAAAGCUAAAUUGCUGGAAUGGCCCCAACGUCUGCACAUAAUAUUUGGGAUUGCCAGGGGCCUUUUGUAUCUACAUCAAGAUUCCCAGUUGAGGAUUAUUCAUAGAGAUCUCAAAGCAAGUAAUAUUUUACUUGACCAAAAGUUAAAUCCAAAAAUAUCAGAUUUUGGAAUGGCCAAGGCUUUUGGAGGAGACCAAAUAGAAGGAAACACAAAUAAAGUUGUUGGGACUGAGUGUUUGUCUAACUAUACUACACCACACUUGUUUAGGUAUGAUUUUUUUAAUCUAAAUUUUUCAGCUGAUGGACUAUAUUCAAUCAAAUCAGACGUUUUCAGCUUUGGUAUUUUGUUGUUGGAGAUUAUAUGUGGCAACAAAAAUAGAGCUCUUUGUCAUGGAAACCAAACUCUGAACCUUGUUGGUUAUGUAAGCACUCAAACUUAUUAUUUAUCUAUGGUGGAGUUUUUUGUCACGAAACCCGUUUCAUCGAUAACUAAUCUCCAUUAAGAAAUUGAUUGAUAAUCUUAGGUGAGUUCUUCCCUUCCUUCCACAAGACAAUUUGAGACUUUAUUUAAAAGAAGCAAGUGUAGUACCACAGAUACCAAGAACUUGUUGGUUAUUGUAAGUUUGAACAUGAAUAACUUUUUUCUCUUUCAUUGUUUCAGGCAUGGACACUUUGGAAAGAGCAAAAUGUUUCACAGUUGAUUGACUCAAGCAUAAAAGACUCGUGUGUUGUCUCAGAAGUACUGCGAUGCACCCAUGUUAGUCUCUUGUGCGUGCAACAAUACCCGGAUGAUAGGCCAACCAUGAGCUCGGUUAUUCAAAUGUUAGGGAGUGAGAUGGAACUGGUUGAGCCAAAAGAGCCUGGUUUCUUUCCAACAAGAAGGAUUUCGAACCAAGGAAAAUUGAGCUCAAAUCUAAACCAAAAGACUUCAAAUACUGAAUUAACCAUUACCUCAUUAAAUGGCAGGUGAAAGUUAUGGAGUCAGCUGAACAUAUUGCAUGGACACACAAUUUGCUUUGCAAGUACCUUCAUUCCCAAAAGAUUAUUGUUUCAAAACCUGUUUAGAUAACUACGUAUAAAAUUCAUCAAAGGUUUUAAAAUGAUAUUACUUUCUUCAAUGGGCAGAAAAACUGAUAUUGAUAGCAUAAAUGAUACAUGCUGUGUAAUAAAUAAAGGCUUCACUGCAUGAGAUAAUCCUAGCCACAAAUUCCAUGUUAGUCUACUACUGGUGCAACAAUAACUAGAGGAACUUCAUUAUUUGAAUUUCGUGUUAGUCUGCUUCUUUUAGGAACUUCAUUAUACCAACUUGAAUUUCGGAAUCUGUAUUCUUCUGACCAAAGCAGCCAUGUGGAAGACUAUGUUAUCCGGUUAAAGCCUUCACUUAAUUUGGGAAGUUGUUUACUGUCUUCAGACUUGAUUGUCAUUAGUUUUACCAAUAACAGUACCCGUGUGCACACAAAGAUAAGGUUGUGUACAUCGAACCCACAACAGAACCCCACAAUCUCUCCACGUAUGGUGGUAAGAUUGCAAACUAAGGCUAUCCUCUACCAAAACUUGUGAAAUUUCGUCAUACUUUCUGCGAUUUUAUUUUGGGUCCGAAUUGCGCUGAAAAAAUUCACACAAGUACCCCCAUAUGUUGUUUGCACCCAGGUAAGGAGGCACGUCCACAAAAGAAUCACAAAAGGAAGAUACAGGGAAGAAAAGCCAGGACGUUUUGCUUUCGGAAUACCAGUUUUGUUCACUCUCGGUCUGGGACCUACGACUCUUUACUCCUUCGGUAUUUUGAUCUGAAAUAUUUACUAGACAUUAGCCAUUGUGCCUACUGAGUUUUGGGUGAGAUUUGAGCCCCAAAUUCGUCUCACAAGAUUUGCAAUAAUUUUUUUAUUAAUCACUGCCAGAGCUGAAAGGAAGGUUCGUUUGUGUGUAAAACUAUUUGAUUUUUUUCCUAGGUGAAUACUCACCCGUUCUACUUGAAAUAUGUCGCGUUUUGUCCCAAAUUCAUUCGAAAUUCUUACGUGGAAUUUCAGGAAAAAACUAGUUCGGGAGAUUUUUUCAGAAAUUUUGUGCAAACCAAGGCUAUCCGCUACCAAAACUUGUGAACUUUUGUCAUACUUUCUGCGAUUUUAUUCUGGGUCAGAAUUAGGCUGAAAAUAUUAACACAAGUACCCCCAAAUGUUGUUUGCACCCAGGUAAGGAGGCACGUCCAUAAAAGAAUCACAAAAGGAAGAUACGGGGAAGAAAAGCCAGGACGUUUUGUUUUCAGAAUACCAGUUUUGUUCACUCUCGGACUGGGACCUACGACGCUUUACUGCUUCGGUAUUUUGAUCUGAAAUAUUUAUUAGCCAUUCGCCAUUGUGCCUACUGAGUUUUGGGUGAGAUUUGACCCCCAAAUUCGUCUCACAAGAUUUGCAAUAAUAUUUUAUUAAUCACUGCUAGAGCUGAAAGGAAGGUUCGUUUGAGUGUAACAUUAUUUGAUUUUUUUCCUAGGUGAAUACUCACCCGUUCUACUUGAAAUAUGUCGCGUUUUGUCCCAAAUUUAGUCGAAAUUCUUAUGUGGAAUUUAUUGAAAAAUCAAGUUCAGGAGAUUUUUUCAGAAAUUUUGUGCAAACCAAGGCUAUCCGCAGCCAAAACUUGUGAAAUUUUGCCCUACUUACUUCGAUUUUAUUUUGGGUCAGUAUUAGGCUGAAAAUAUUAACACAAGUACCCCCAUACGUUCUUUGCACCCAAGUAAGGAGGCACGUCCAUAAAAAAAUCACAGAAAGAAGAUACGGGGAAAAAAGCGACGACGUUUUCUUUUUGGAAAACCAGUUUUGUGCAUUCUCGGUCUGGGACCUACUGCGCUUUACUUCUUGGAUAUUUUGAUCUGAAAUUUUUACUAGACAUUCGUCAUUGAGCCUACUGAGUUUUGACCGAGAUUUGAGGCCCAAAUUUGUCCCUCAAGAUUUGAAAUAAUUUUUUUAUUAAUCAUUGAAUAGGCUGAAAGGAAGAUUCGUUUGUGUGUGAAACUGUUUGAUUUUUUUCCAAGGUGAAUACUCACCCGUUUGACCUGAAUUCUGUCGCGUUUUGUCCCGAAUUCAGUGGAGAUUCUUACGUGGAAUUUCAAGAAAAAACUAUUGCGGGAGAAUUUUUCAGAAGUUUUGUGUAGACCAAGGCUAUCCUCUACCAAAACUUGUGAAAUUUCGCACUACUUUCUGCAAUUUUUAUUCUGGAUCCGUAUCGCGCUGAAAAAAUUCAAAAAAGUACUUUCAUAUGUUGUUCGCCCCAGGUAAGGAGGCACGUCCAUAAACAAAUCACAAAAAGAAGAUACGCGGAAGUAAAGCCAGGACGUUCUGUUUUCGGAAAACCAGUUAUCUUCAGUCUGGGUCUGGGACUUACCACGCCUUACUCCUUGGGUGUUUUGGUAUGAAAUUUUUACCAGACAUUCGACACUGUAUCUAUUUAGUUUUCGCUGAGAUUUAAGCCACAGAUUCAUCCCACAAGAUUGACAAUAAAUUCUUUAUUGAUCACUGCCUGGGUUGAAGGGAAGGUUCGUUCGUGUGUGAAACUGUUUGAUUUUUUCCGUGACAUUUGUCAAGUUUUGUCCCAAAUUCAGUGGAGAUUUUUACGUGGAUAUUAAGGAAAAAACUCUUCCGAGAGAAUUUUUCAGAAAUUUUGCGCAGACCAAGGCUAUCCUCUUCCAAAACUUGUGAAAUUUCGCCCUACUUUCUGCAAGUUUUAUUUUGGAUCCGUAUCGUGCUGAAAAAAUUCACACAAGUACUUUUAUAUGUUGUUUUCAUCCAGGUAAGGAGGCACGUCCAUAAACAAAUCACAAAAAGAAGAUACGCGGAAGUAAAGCCAGGACGUUCUAUUUUCGGAAAACGAAUUUUGUUCAGUCUGUGUCAGGGACUUACUACGCCAUACUCCUUCGGUGUUUUGGUUUGUAAUUUUUACCAGACGUUCGAAACAUUUUCUAUUGAGUUUUGGCUGAGGUUUGAGCCCAAGAAUCAUCCCAAAAGAUUGGCAACAAAUUUUUUAUUGAUCACUGCCAGGGUUGAAGGGAAGGUUCGUUUGUGCGUGAAACUGUUUGAUUUUUUUCGUGGGUGAAAACUCGUCCGUUUGACCUGAAAUUUGUCGCGUUAUUUUCGAAAUUCAGUUGAGAUUCUUACGUGGAGUUUCAGGAAAAAACUAUUCUGGGAGAAUUUUUCAGAAAUUUUGUGCAGACCAAGCCUCAUGUACCAAAACUUGUGAAAUUUCGACUUACUUUCUGCAAUUUUUAUUCUUGAUCCGUAUCGCGCUGAAAAAAUUCACACAUGUAAUUUCAUAUGUUGUUUGCAUUGAGGUAUGGAGGCACGUCCAUAAACAAAUCAGAAAGAGAAGGUACGCGGAAGAAAAUCCUGAACGUUCUGUUUUGGGAAAACCAUAUUUUGUUCAGUUUGGGUCUUGGACUUACUACGCCUUACUCCUUGGGUGUUUUGGCCUGAAAUUUUUAGCAGACGUUCGAAACUGUGUCUAUUGAGGUUUGGCUGAGAUUUGAGCCGCAGAUUCGUCCCACAAGAGUGGCAAUAAAUUUUUUAUUGAUCACUGCCAGGGUUGAAGGGAAGGUUCGUUUGUGCGUGAAACUGUUUGAUUUUUUUCGUGGGUGAAUAUUCGUCCGUUUGACCUUAAAUUUGUUGCAAUUUGUCCCAAAUUCAGUGGAUAAUCUUACGUAGAGUUUCAUGAAAAAACUAUUCCGGGAGAAUUUUUUAGAAAUUUUGUGCAGACCACGACUGUCCUCUACCAAAACUUGUGAAAUUUCGCCCUACUUUCUGCAAUUUUUAUUCUCGAUCCGUAUCGCGCUGAAAAAAUUCACAGAAGUACUUUCAUAUGUUGUUUGCACCUAGGUAAGGAGGCAGGUCCAUAAACAAAUCACAAAGAGAAGAUACGCGGAAGAAAAGCCAGGGCGUUCUGUUUUUGGAAAACCAGUUUUGUUCAGUCUGGGUCUGGGACUUACUACGCCUUACUCCUUGAGUGUUUUGGUCUGAAAUUUUUACCAGACGUUCGAAACUGUGUCUAUUGAGUUUUCGCUGAGAUUUGAGCCCCAGAUUCGUCCAACUUGAUUAGCAAUACAUUUUUUAAUGAUCACUACCAGGGUUCAAGGGAAGGUUCGUUUGUGCGUGAAACUGUUUGAUUUUUUCGUGGGUGAAUACUCGUCCGUUUGACCUGAAUUUUGUCGCAAUUUGUCCCAAAUUCAGUGGAUAUUCUAACGUGAAGUUUCAGGAAAAAACUCUUCCAAGAGAAUUUUUAGAAAUUUUGUGCAGACCAAGGCUGUCCUCUACCAAAACUUGUGAAAUUUCGCACUACUUUCUGCAAUUUUUAUUCUCGAUCCGUAUCGCGCUGAAAAAAUUCACAGAAGUACUUUCAUAUGUUGUUUGCACCCAGGUAAGGAGGCAGGUCCAUAAACAAAUCACAAAGAGAAGAUACGCGGAAGAAAAGCCAGGGCGUUCUGUUUUUGGAAAACCAGUAUUGUUCAGUCUGGGUCUGGGACUUACUACGCCUUACUCCUUGAGUGUUUUGGUCUGAAAUUUCUACCAGACGUUCGAAACUGUGUCUAUUGAGUUUUCGCUGAGAUUUGAGCUCCAGAUUCGUCCCACAAGAUUGGCAAUAAAUUUUUUAAUGAUCACUGCCAGGGUUCAAGGGAAGGUUCGUUUGUGCGUGAAACUGUUUGAUUUUUUCGUGGGUGAAUACUCGUCCUUUUGACCUGAAAUUUGACGCGUUUUUUCCCAAAUUCAGUGGAGAUUCUUAGGUGGAGUUUCAGGAAAAAACUUUUCCGGGAGAAUUUUUCAGAAAUUUUGUGCAGACCAAGGCUAUCCUCUACCAUAACUUGUGAAAUUUCUCCCUACUUUCUGCAAUUUUUAUUCUCGUUCCGUAUCGUGCUGAAAAAAUCACACAAGUACUUUCAUAUGUUGUUUGCACCCAGGUAAAGGGGCACGUCCAUAAACAAAUCACAAAAAGAAGAUACGCGGAAGUAAAGCCAGGAUGUUUUCUUUUCGGAACACCAGUUUUGUUCAGUCUGGGUCUGGGACUUACUACGCCUUACUCCUUGGGUGUUUUGGUCUGAAAUUUUUACCAGACGUUCGAAACUGUGUCUAUUAAGUUUUGGCUGAGAUUUGAGCCCCAGAUUCGUCCCAUAAAUUUGGCAAUAAAUUUUUUAUUGAUCACUGCCAGGGUUGAAGGGAAGGUUCGUUUGUGCGUGAAACUAUUUGAUUUUUUUUCGUGGGUGAAUACUCGUCCGUUUGACCUAAAAUUUGUUGCAAUUUGUCCCAAAUUCAGUGGAUAAUCUUACGUUGAGUUUCAGAAAAAAAACUACUUCGGGAGAAUUUUUUAGAAAUUUUGUGCAGAUCAAGGCUGUCCUCUACCAAAACUUGUGAAAUUUCGCCCUACUUUCUGCAAUUUUUAUUCUGGAUCCGUAUCGCGCUGAAAAAAUUCACACAAGUACUUUCAUAUGUUGUUUGCACCAAGGUAAGGAGGCAGGUCCAUAAACAAAUCACAAAGUGAAGAUACGCGGAAGAAAAGCCAGGGCGUUCUGUUUUUGGAAAACCAAUUUUUCCAGUCUGGGUCUGGGACUUACUACGCUUUACUCCUUGGGUGUUUUGGUCUGAAAUAUGUACCAGACGAUCGAAACUGUGUCUAUUGAGUUUUGGCUGAGAUUUGAGCCCUAAAUUCGUCCCACAAGAUUGGGAAUAAAUUUUUUAUUGAUCACUGCCAGGGUUGAAGGGAAGGUUCGUUUGUGAGUGAAACUGUUUGAUUUUUUUGUGGGUGAAUACUCGUCCGUUUGACCCGAAAUUUGUCUCGUUUUGUCACAAAUUCAGUGGAGAUUCUUAUGUGGAGAUUCAGGAAAAACUAUUCCGGGAGAAUUUUUGAUAAAUUUUGUGCAGACCAAGGCUAUCCUUUACCAAAACAUGUGAAAUUUUGCCCUACUCUCUGUAAUUUUUAUUCUGGAUCCGUAUCGCGUUGCAAAAUUCACACAAGUACUUUCAUAUGUUGUUUGCACCCAGGUAAGGAGGCACGUCCAUAAACAAAUCACAAAAAGAAGAUAGGUGGAAGAAAAGCCAGGACGAUCUGUUUUCGGAAAACCAGUUUUGUUAAGUCUGGGUCUGGGACUUACUACGGCUUACUCCUUCGGUGUUUUGGUAUGAAAUUUUUAACAGACGUUCGAAACUGUGUCUAUUGAGUUUUGGCUGAGAUUUGAGCCCCAUAUUCGUCCCACAAGAUUGGCAAUAAAUUUUUUACUGAUCACUGCUAGUGUUGAAGGGAAGGUUCAUUUGUGCGUGAAACUGUUUGAUUUUUUUCGUUGGUGAACACUAGUCCGUUUGACCUGAAAUUUGUCGUGUUUUGUCCCAAAUUUAGUGGAGAUUCCUACGUGGAGUUUCAGGAAAAAACGAUUCCGGGAGAAUUUUUUAGCAAUUUUGUGCAGACCAAGGCUAUCCUCUACCAAAACUCUUGAAAUUUCGCCCUACUUUCUGCAAUUUUUAUUCUUGUUCCGUAUCGUGUUGAAGAAAUUCACAACAGUACUUUCAUAUAUUGUUUGCACCCAGGUAAGGAGGCAAGUCCAUAAAAAAAUCACAAAAAGAAGAUACGCGGAAGAAAAGCCAGGACGUUCUGUUUUCGGAAAACCAAUUUUGUUCAGUUUGGGUCUGGGACUUACUACGCCUUACUCCUUGGGUAUUUUGGUUUGAAAUUUUUACCAGACAUUCGAAACUGUGUCUAUUAAGUUUUGGCUGAGAUUUGAGCCCCAGAUUCGUCCCAAAAAUUUGGCAAUAGAUUUUUUAUUGAUCACUGCCAGGAUUGAAGGGAAGGUUCGUUUGUGAGUGAAACUGUUUGAUUAUUUUUGUGUGUGAAUACACGUCCGUUUGACCAGAAAUUUGUCGCGUUUGGUCACAAAUUCAGUGAAGAUUCUUACGUGCAGAUUCAGGAAAAAACUAUUCCGGAAGAAUUUUUCAGGAAUUUUGUGCAGACGAAGGCUAACCUCUACCAAAACUUGUGAAAUUUCGCCCUACUCUCUGCAAUUUUUAUUCUGGAUCCGUAUCGCGCUGACAAAAUUCACACAAGUACUUUAAUAUGUUGUUUGCACCCAGGUAAGGAAUCACGUCCAUAAACAAAUCACAAAAAGAAGAUACGCGGACGAAAAGCCAGGACAUUCUAUUUUCGGAAAACCAAUUUUUUUAAGUCUGGGUCUGGGCUUACUACACCUUACUCCUUGGGUGUUUUGGUCUGAAAUUUUUACCAGACAUUCGAAACUGUGUCUAUUGAGUUUUGGCUGAGAUUUGAGCCCCAGAUUCGUCCCACAAGAUUGGCAAUAAAUUUUUUAUUGAUCACUGCCAGGGUUGAAGGGAUGGUUCGUUUGUGCGUGAAACUGUUUGAUUUUUUUCGUGGGUGAAUACUCGUUCGCUUGAGCUAAAAUUUGUCGCGUUUUGUCCCAAAUUCAGUUGAUAUUCUUACGUGGAGUUUUAGGACAAAACUAUUCCUGGAUAAUUUUUCAGAAAUUUUGUGCAGACCAAGGCUAUCCUCAACCAAAACAUGUGAAAUUUCGCCCUAUUUUCUGCAAUUUUUAUUCUGGAUCCGUAUCGCGCUGAAAAAAUUCACACAAGUACUUUCAUUCGUUGUUUGCACCCAAGUAAGGAGGCACGNNNNNNNNNNNNNNNNNNNNNNNNNNNNNNNNNNNNNNNNNNNNNNNNNNNNNNNNNNNNNNNNNNNNNNNNNNNNNNNNNNNNNNNNNNNNNNNNNNNNNNNNNNNNNNNNNNNNNNNNNNNNNNNNNNNNNNNNNNNNNNNNNNNNNNNNNNNNNNNNNNNNNNNNNNNNNNNNNNNNNNNNNNNNNNNNNNNNNNNNNNNNNNNNNNNNNNNNNNNAUUGAUCAGUGCAAGGGUUGAAGGGAAGGUUCGUUUUUGAGUGAAACUGUUCGAUUUUUGUCCUGAGUGAAUACUCGUCAGUUUGACCUGAAAUUUGUCGCGUUUUGUCCCAAAUUCAGUUGAUAUUCUUACGUGGAGUUUUAGGAAAAAACUAUUCCUGGAUAAUUUUUCAGAAAUUUUGUGCAGACCUAGGCUAUCCUCAACCAAAACAUGUGAAAUUUCGCCCUAUUUUCUGCAAUUUUUAUUCUGGAUCCGUAUCGCGCUGAAAAAAUUCACACAAGUACUUUCAUUCGUUGCUUGCACCCAAGUAAGGAGGCACGUCCAUAAACAAAUCACAAAAAGAAGAUAACCGUAAGAAAAGCCAGGACGUUCUAUUUUCGGAAAACCAAUUUUGUUCAGUCUGGGUCUAGGACUUACUACGCCUUAUUCCUUGAGUGUUUUGGUCUGAAAUUUUUACCAGACGUUCGAAACUGUGUCUAUUGAGUUUUAGCUAAGAUUUUAGCCCCAGAUACGUCCCACAAGAUUGGCAAUAAAUUUUUUAUUCAUCACUGCCAGGGUUGAAGGGAAGGUUCGUUUGUGCGGGAAACUAUUUGAUUUUUUUUCGUGGGUGAAUACUCGUCCGUUUGACCUGAAAUUUGUUGCAAUUUGUCCCAAAUUCAGUGGAUAAUCUUACGUUGAGUUUCAGAAAAAAACUAUUUCGGGAGAAGUUUUUAGAAAUUUUGUGCAGAUCAAAGGUGUCCUCUACCAAAACUUGUGAAAUUUCGCCCUACUUUCUGCAAUUUUUAUUCUGGAUCCGUAUCGCGCUGAUAAAAUUCACACAAGUACAUUCAUAUGCUUUUUGGACCCAGGUAAGGAGGCAGGUCCAUAAACAAAUCACAAAAAGAAGAUACGCGGAAGAAAAGCCAGGACGUUCUGUUUUCGGAUAACCAAUUUUGUUCAGUCUGCGUCUGGGACUUACUACGCCUUACUCCUUGGGUGUUUUGGUAUGAAAUUUUUACCAGACGUUCGAAACUGUGUCUAUUGAGUUUUGGGUGAGAUUUGAGCCCCAGAUUCGUCCCACAAUAUUGGCAAUAAAUUUUUUAUUGAUCACUGCCAGGGUUGAAGGGAAGGUUCGUUUGUGCGUGAAUCUGUUUGUUUUUUUUUCGUGGUUGAAUACUCGUCUUUCUGACCUGAAAUUUGUCGCGUUUUGUCCCAAAUUCAGUGGAGAUUCUGACGUGGAGUUUCAGGAAAAAACUAUUCCGGGUGAAUUUUCCAGAAAUUUUUGCAGACCAAGGCUAUAUCCUCUACCAAAACGUGUGAAAUUUCGCCCUACUUUUUGCAAUUUUUAUUCUGGAUCCGUAUCGCGUUGAAAAAAUUCACACAAGUACUUUCAUAUGUUUUUUGGACCCAGGUAAGGAGGCACGUCCAUAAACAAAUCACAAAAAGAAGAUACGCGGACGAAAAGCCAGGACGUUCUGUUUUCGGAAAACCAGUUUUGUUCAGUCUGGGUCUGGGACUUACUACGCCUUACUCCUUGGGUGUUCUGGUCUGAAAUUUUUCCAAACGUUCGAAACUGUGUCUAUUGAGUUUUGGCUAAGUUUUGAGCCCCAGAUUCGUCCCACAAGAUUGGCAAUAAAUUUUUAUUGAUCACUGCUAGGGUUGAAGGGAUGGUUCGUUUGUGCGUGAAACUGUUUGAGUUUUUUCGUGGGUGAAUACUCGUCCGUUUGACCUGAAAUUUGUCGCAUUUUGUCCCAAAUUCGGUGGAUAUUCUUACGUGGAGUUUCAGGAAAAAACUAUUCCUGGAGAAUUUUUUAGAAAUUUUGUGCAGAACAAGGUUAUCCUCUACCAAAACUUGUGAAAUUUCGCCCUACUUUCUGCAACUUUUAUUCAGGUUCCGUAUCGCGCUGAAAAAAGUCACACAAGUACUUUCAUAAUUAAUUUGCACACAGGUAAGGAGGCACGUCCAUAAACAAAUCACAAAAAGAAGAUACGCGGAAGAAAAGCCAGGACGUUCUGUUUUCGGAAAACCAGUUUUGUUUAGGCUGGGUCUGGAACUUACUACGCCUUACCCCUUUGGUGUUCUGGUAUGAAAUUUUUACCAAACGUUCAAAACUGUGUCUAUUGAGUUUUGGCUGAGAUUUGAGCCCCAGAUUCGUCCCACAAAAUUGGCAAUAAAGUUUUUAUUGAUCAGUGCAAGGUUUGAAGGGAAGGUUCGUUUGUGCGUUAAACUGUUUGAUUUUUUUCGUGGGUGAAUACUCAUUCGUUUGACCUGAAAUUUGUCGCGUUUUGUCCCAAAUUCAGUGGAGAUUCUUACGUGGAGUUUCUGGAAAAAACCAUUCCGGGAGAAUUGUUCAGAAAUUUUGUGCAGAUUAAGGUUAUACUCUACCAAAACUUGUGAAAUUUCGUCCUACUUUUUGCAAUUUUUAUUCUGGAUUCGUAUCCCGUUGAAAAAAUUCACACAAGUACUUUCAUAUGUUGUUUGCACCCAGGUAAGGAGGAACGUCCAUAAACAAAUCACAAAAAGAAGAGACGCGGAAGAAAAGCCAGGACGUUCUGUUUUCGGAAUAGCAGUUUUGUUUAGUCUGGGUCUGGAACUUACUACGCCUUACUCCUUUGGUGUUUUGGUCUGAAAUUUUUACCAGAUGUACCUCCCUGAUAGUCGGGAGUAAUGACGUGGCGUCGAGCUAUUAUAUAGGCGUGUUGGAUGGGGCACCUGGCUGGCAGAAGGGGAGGAAGUCGGGGGGUUCGCGUAGUCGCCAGUUAUUAAGCUGGCGUGCUCCGAUCUCCAUCAUACCUAAACCGGCGGUCACCGAGUUGAAGAUGAAGUCACCAGAUGUGAACCCAGGCGACCAAGUGAUUAGAGAUCGCCGAAGCAAGGACAUCGCCGAAGAUGAAGGCAGAUAGACACUUCCCAGUUGACCAGAGGAUGAGGUCGGGGGACAGCUUACUUAAGCAUAUACGGUGAAACAGGUGGUGCAGAUCAUGAAGGCGGCCGGCGAGACCAUAGGGAAGGUGUGUACGAAGGCACCCGAACUCGCCAUCCAGAAGAGAUCACGCUCCAAGGCAACUAUGCACUGAGUAGUAUCAUGCAUAAGUAACUUAGCCAAAGAAGAGUCAGGAGUAGUGCCCAAGUCAAGGAUGCUCCAGAUGAAGGCACGUGUACAGCUGGAUGCGAGCCACGUGUCCAGAUGUGUAACUGCCAGGAGAGAGAAAGUGCCCAGGUAUAUAAGAGUUCCCAACGAACUUCUGAGGUACGCACGUUCAGAUUGUUUUCUUUACGCUUGCGAGUCUUGAGUGCACUGAGAGAGAAUUGGUCACGGUUCCUUAGAGUUCUUGAGUUCUACUCUUGAGUAAUUGGUGGUUCAGUCGCUGACUUGGGCGUCGGAGCGCGAUCGGCCGCAGCGGCGCCGUUUCGUCUUUUGCAGGUUCUUGAGGUGGGAUCGCGCUGAAGGACGGAGGCUAACACGGCGCAUGCGUCGAUCCAAGUUUGACGAGGCAAAGCUCCAGCGUUUUGGUCAACAGGCAGGAUCACCAGACGUUCAAAGCUGUGUCUAUUGAGUUUUGGCUGAUAUUUGAGCCCCAGAUUCGUCUCACAAGUUUGCCAAUAAAUUUUUUAUUGAUCACUGUCAGGGUUGAAGGGAAGGUGUGUUUGUGUGUGAAACUGUUUGACUUUUUUUGUGGGUGAAUACUCAUCCGUUUGACCUGGAAUUUGUCGCGUUUAGUCCCAAAUUCAGUGGAGAUUCUUACGUGGAGUUUCAGGAAAAACUAUUCCGGGAGAAUUUUUCAUAAAUUUUUGCACACCAAGGUUAUCCUCUACCAAAACUUGUGAAAUUUCGGCCUACUUUUUGCAAAGAUUGGCAUUAAAUUUUUAUUGAUCACUGUCAGGGUUGAAGGGAAGGUUUGUUUGUGUGUGAAACUGUUUGACUUUUUUCGUGGGUGAAUACUCAUCCGUUUGACCUGAAAUUUGUCGCGUUUAGUCCCAAAUUCAGUGGAGAUUCUUACGUGGAGUUUCAGGAAAAAAAUAUUCCGGGAAAAUUUUUCAUAAAUUUUUGCACACCAAGGCUAUCCUCUACCAAAACUUGUGAAAUUUCGUCCUACUUUUUGCAAUUUUUAUUCUGGAUCCGUAUCGCACUGAAAAAAUUCACACAAGUACUUUCAUAUGUUGUUUGCACCCAGGUAAGGAGGCACGUCCAUAAACAUAUCACAAAAGGAAGAUACGCGGAAGAAAAGGCAGGACCUUCUGUUUUCGAAAAACCAGUUUUGUUCAGUCUGGGUUUGGGACUUACUAUGCCUUACCCCUUGUAUGUUUUGGUCUGAACUUUUUACCAGACGUUCGAAACUGUGUCUAUUGAGUUUUGGCUGAGAUUUGAGCCCCAGAUUCUUCCCACAAGAUUGGCAUGGAAUUUUUUAUUGAUCACUACCAGGGUUGAAAGGAUGGUUUUUUGUGUGUGAAACUGUUUGAUUUUUUUCAUGGGUGAAUACUCAUCCGUUUGACCUGAAAUUUGUCGCGUUUUGUCCCAAAUUCAGUGGAAAUUCUUACUUGGAGUUUCAGGAAAAAACUAUUCCGGGAGAAUUUUUCAGACAUUUUGGGCAGACCAACGCUAUCCUCUACCAAAACUUCUGCAUUUCGCCAUACUUUCUGCUUUUUUAUUCUGGAUCCGUAUCGCACUGAGAAAAUUCACACAAGUACAUUCAUAUGUUGUUUGAACCCAGUAAAGGAGGCACGUCCAUAAACAAAUCACAAAACGAAGAUACGCAGAAGAAAAGCCAGGACGUUCUGUCUUCGGAAAACCAUUUUUGUUUAGUCUGGGUCUGGAACUUACUACGCCUUACCCCUUUGGUGUUUUGGUAUGAAAUUUUUACCAGACGUUCGAAGCUGUGCCUAUUGAGUUUUGGAUGAGAUUUGAGCCCUAGAUUCGUCUCACAAGAUUGGCAAUAAAUUUUUUAUUGAGCACUGUCAGAUUUGAAGGGAAGGUUUGUUUGUGUGUGAAACUGUUUAAUUUUUUUCGUGGGUGAAUACUCAUACGUUUAACCUGAAAUUUGUCGCGUUUUGUCUCAAAUUCAGUGGAGAUUCUUACGUGGAGUUUCAGGAAAGAACUAUUUCGGGAGAAUUUUUCAGAAAUUUUGUGCAGACUAAGGCUAUCCUCUACCAAAACAUGUGAUAUUUCGCCCUACUUUCUGCAAUUUUUAUUCUGGAUCCGUGUCGCGCUGAAAAAAUUUACACAAGUACUUUCAUAUGUUGUUUGCUCCCAGGUAAGGAGGCACGUCCAUAAACAAAUCACAAAAGGAAGAUACGCAGAAGAAAAGCCAGGACGUUCUGUUUUAGGAAAACUAGUUUUGAUCAGUCUAGGUCUGGGAUUUACUACGCCUUACUCCUUAGGUGUUUUGGUCUGAAAUUUUUACCAGACGUUCAAAACUGUGUCUAUUGAGUUUUGGCUUAUAUUUGAGCCCCAGAUUCGUCCCACAAGAUUGACAAUAAAUUAUUUAUUGAUCACUGCCUGGGUUGAAGGGAAGGUUCGUUUGUGUGUGAAACUGUUUGAUUUUUUUCCAAGGUGAAUACUCACCCGUUUGACCUGAAUUCUGUCGCGUUUUGUUCUGAAUUCAGUGGAGAUUCUUACGUGGAAUUUCAAGAAAAAACUAUUGCGGGAUAAUUUUUCAGAAGUUUUGUGCAGACCAAGGCUAUCCUCUACCAAAACUUGUGAAAUUUCGCACUACUUUCUGCAAUUUUUAUUAUGGAUCAGUACCGUGCUGAAAAAAUCACACAAGUACUUCCAUAUGUCUUUUGCACCGAGGUAAGGAGACACGUCCAUAAACAAAUCACAAAAAGAAGAUACGCGGAAGAAAAGCUAGGACGUUCUGUUUUCGGAAAACCAGUUUUGUUUAGUCUGGGUCUGGGACUUACUACGCCUUACUGCUUGGGUGUUUUCAUCUGAAAUUUUUACCAGACGUUCGAAACUGUGUCUAUUGAAUUUUGGCUGACAUUUGAGCUCCAUUUUCGUCCCACAAGAUUGGCAAUAAAUUUUUUAUUGAUCACUGCCAGGGUUGAAGGGAAGGUUUGAUAGUGUGUGAAACUGUUUGACUUUUUUCGUGGGUGAAUACUCAUCCGUUUGACCUGAAAUUUAUCGCGUUUUGUCCCAAAUUCAGUAGAGAUUGUUACGUGAGGUUUCAGGAAAAAAAUAUUCUGGGAAAAUUUUUCAGAAAUUUUGUGCAGACCAAGGCUAUCCUCUACCUAAACUUGUGAAAUUUCGCCCUACUUUCUGCAAUAUUUAUUCUGGAUCCGUAUCGAGCUGAAAAAAUUGACACAAGUACUUUCAUAUGUUGUUUGCACCCAGGUAAGCAGGCACCUCCGUAAACAAAUCACAAAAAAAGAUACGCGGAAGAAAAGCCAGGACGUUAUGUUUUCGGAAAACCAGUUUUGUUCAGUUUGGGUUUAGGACUUACUACGCCUUACUCCUUGGGUGUUUUGGUUUGAAAUUUUUACCAGAUGUUCGAAACUGUGUUUAUUGAGUUUUGGCUAAGAUUUGAGUCCUAGAUUCGUCCCACAAGAUUGGCAAUAAAUUUUUUAUUGAUCAGUGCAAGGGUUGAAGGGAAGGUUCGUUUGUGAGUGAAACUGUUCGAUUUUUGUCCUGAGUGAAUACUCGUCAGUUUGACCUGAAAUUUGUCGCGUUUUGUACCAAAAUCAGUUGAGAUUCUAACAUGGAAUUUCAGCAAAAAACUAUUGCAGGAGAAUUUUUCUGAAAUUUUGUGCAGAUUAAGGCUAUCCUCUACCAAAACUUGUGAAAUUUCGCCCUACUUUCUACAAUUUUUAUUAUGGAUUCAUAUCAUGCUGUAAAAAUUCACACAAGUACUUUCAUAUGUUGUUUUCACCUAGGUAAGGAGGCACGUCCAUAAACAAAUCAUAAAAAGAAGAUACGCGGUAGAAAAGCCAGGACGUUCUGUUUUCGGAAAACCAGUUUUGUUUAGUCUUGGUUUGGGACUUACUACGCCUUACUCCUUGGGUGUUUUGAUCUGAAAUUUUUACCAGACGUUCGAAACUGUGUCUAUUGAGUUUUGGCUGAGAUUUGAGCCCCAGAUUCGUCCCACGAGAUUGGCGAUAAAUUUUUUAUCGAUCACUGCUACGGUUGAGCGGAAUGUUCAUUUGUGUGUGAAACUGUUUGAUUUUUUUCGUGGGUGAAUACACAUCGGUUUGACCUGAAAUUUGUCGCGUUUUAUCCCAAUUCAUUGGAGAUUCUUACGCGGAAUUUUGGGAAAAAACUAUUCCAGGAGAAUUUUUCAGAAAUUUUGUGCAGACCAAGGCUAUCCUUUACAAAAACUUGUGAAAUUUCGCCCUACUUUCUGCAAUUUUUCUUCUGGAUUCGUAUCGCACUGAAAAAAUUCACACAAGUACUUUCAUAUGUUGUUUUCACCCAGGUAAGGAGGCACGUCCAUAAACAAAUCACAAAAAGAAGAUAGGUGGAAGAAAAGCCAGGACGAUCUGUUUUCGGAAAACCAGUUUUGUUAAGUCUGGGUCAUGGAUUUACUACGCCUUACUCCUUGGGUGUUUUGGUCUGAAAUUUUUACCAGAUGUUCGAAACUGUUUCUAUUGAGUUUUGGCUGAGAUUUGAGCCGCAGAUUUAUCCCACUAGAUUGGUAAUAAAUUUUUUAUUGAUCACUGCCAGGGUUGAAGGAAUGUUCGUUUGUGUGUGAAACUGUUUGAUUUUUUUGUGGAUGAAUACUCAUUUGUUUGACCUGAAUAUUGUUGCAUUUUGUCCUAAAUUCAGGGGAGAUUCUUACGUGGAAUUUUAGGAAAAAACUAGUCCGGGAAUAUUUUUCAGAAAUUUUGUGCAGACCACGGCUUUUCUCUACCAAAACUUUUGAAAUUUCGCCCUAGUUUCAGCAAUUUUUAUUCUGAAUCCGUAUCGCGCUGAGAAAAUUCACACAAGUACAUUCAUAUGUUGUUUGCACCCAGGUAAGGAGGAACGUCCAUAAACAAAUCACAAAAAGAAGAGACGCGGAAGAAAAGCCAGGACAUUCUGUUUUUGGAAAACCAGUUUUGUUAUGUCUGGGUCUGGGACUUACUAUGCCUUACUCCUUGGGUGUUUUGGUCUGAAAUUUUUACCAGACGUUCGAAACUCUGUUUAUUGAGUUUUGGUUGAGAUUUGAGCCCCAGAUUCGUCGCACAAGAUUGACAAUAAAUUUUUGGGGUUAGUUACACAAACUAAACAAUGUUCUUGUAUAGUUUUCUAAAAAUAUACCAAAUAUGUUGCUAGAUUUACCUUGUUACGGGGUUACUAAAGGUGAAACUUACAUGGAUUAAAAUCUAACAUAGAAGGAAAUAUAUAAUUAUAAUUAUUAUUAGAUGAUAACUUUGUUGGGAGUGUUUUUUUUUUUUCAUUAUGCUUAUGGAAGAAGGUAAUACUAUGAUCAAGGAUGUGGAUAGAGUAAGAAAAUUUAAUUCUAAAAGUUUUAAUAGACUUUCAUGAAUGUUUAAGUAAGCCAAGAAAAAGGUAAAAAACAUGCAUGGGUGGAAUGAAAAGAAAUGUGUGGAACAAUAUAUAAGAAAAGUAAAAUAUGUCUUUUAUAGAUAAAAGUGUGAUACAGUUAAGAAAAAUCAAAGGAGUUUUGCACACUACGAACUCCAUCACCAUGCACGAACAUGCAAUUCCCUUGAUAUUAAUCCUUUAAUGUAUUCAUUUAUAAGUUAAACAAUUAUGUAUUAACUGAUUAUAAUGUUUCUUUUACAGACAAUGACACUUGAUCGCUUAGUACACGAAGAUGAGGAUUUUCAACAUACACAUACAAAAGAAUACCUAAUAAUUUGUCAAUGACAGAUAUAGGCGAACACACAUGAGUAUGUCCUUUAGUUCAAAUAUUUGGAUUAUAUUUGGAUUUUUAGUUCAAAUAUUUGAAUUAUAUUGUAUGUGUAUCUAGAUCAAUAUUUCUUUAUAUUUCAAAGUUUUGGUUUUAAACAAAAACCAACCAAAUUAAAAAAAUAUCUAAAAUUUAAGUCAAAUUAUACACUAUUUAUCGUAAAUUUAUGUUGGACUUGAUUCAACGUACAUAGAUUCUAUUGUAGUGUAGUUCAAUAAAGAAAUACGGUUUUUACUUGUAUUUUGUCUGAGGCAAAUUUACGUGUCUCUCAUUCAUAUCAAACUUUUACCUAACGUAGUAACAUAAUCAACCUUAUAUAGUCAUGUGUUCUGUUUUAUCUGAAGUGUCUGUCAACAUUCAUAUUACAGGAACAUCUUCAAAUUGUAACACAAAUGCUUUCUUUCUCUUAGUUAUCUGAAAGCGUUAUUUUGUAUUAAUUAGUAUACAGCUAUUUUCUCUUUUGUAUCUUUUCUUAGCUUUCUUUUUUAUUAUUAUCUCAUUAGUCUUGUAAUUAUGAAUUAGUCUUUUUUUAUUAAUCUUGUUCUUCCAUGGACCCCAUUCAAUUGAAGAGGAGAAGGAUGCAUUUGAAUCAUUUUCUACUCUUUGUACGUAAUAACUGACAAGUCUUGGAAAAUAUAAAAAAAGGUUAUGUAGCUUGACUAUAUCAUAACCACUCAUUUAUUCAUGCUAAUUCAUUAACUAAGGUUCACCAACCUUCUUGCUGAUGAUGUUCACUAUAAGAAAGUCUUGGAAUAAAUAAAUGUUCACCAACCUUCUUAACUCAAUCCCAUCAUUCAAAAAUUAGCUUAUUACUAUUAUUUCCAUUGCACUGCAACCAAUCAAAGGCCUAAGCUUCAUUCAUAACAAAACAUCUUCAUACUACUCAUCUCAACAUCAUUCAGAUCUCUCCACUCACUCUUUUCCAUUCACAUUUUCUACCAUGGCUGCUGAGUUCAUUACCAAUGCUCUUGUCUCCACCUUCGUUGAGACCACCAUUGACAAUUUGGCUUCUCGUUUUGGGGACAUAUUUCGUGGAAAAAAAGCCAACAAGAAGCAGCUAAGCAUUUUGAAGGUGAAGCUCCUAGCAGUUGAGGUUGUGGCUGAUGAUGCAGAACAGAAACAGUUCACAGAUCCACGUGUAAGAGAUUGGCUUCUCGCAGCCAAGGGCGUGGUGUUUGAUGCAGAGGAUCUCUUGGAUGAAAUAGAUUUUGCACUCUCCAAAAGCCAAGUGGAAGCUCAGUCUCAGAGUGCUGCUAAAAAGGUACUGAAUUCCCUCAAAUCUUCUUUUGUCAGUUUCUUUAAAGAAAAUGAAAUUGAAACAAGGAUGGAACAAGUCAUUGAGGACUUAGAAGAUCUUGCAACCCGCAGCCAUGUUCUAGGUUUGAAAAAGGCUGAUGAUGUCGGGAUCAGAUCCGGUAGUAGAUUAUCAUCAACAUAUUUGCCAAACGAAAGUGAUAUCUAUGGCAGAGAAGAUGACAAACAAUUUAUCUUUAACUGGCUCACAUCUAACACUGACAACAACCUAUCUAUACUUUCUAUUGUGGGAAUGGGAGGGGUGGGUAAGACCACUCUUGCCCAACAUGUAUUCAAUGACCCAAGGAUGGAUGAGGUUAAAUUUGAUGUCAAAGCUUGGGUUUGUGUUUCGGAUGAAUUUGAUGUUUUCAAGGUAUCAAAAGAAAUUCUUGAGCAUGUUACUAAACCUACUGAUGAUGACACUAGAGAUCUGGAGAUGGUUCAUAGAAGAACGAAAAAAGAAUUGACGGGGAAGAAAUUUCUUCUUGUUUUAGAUGACAUUUGGAACGAAAACCAACUUAAAUGGGAGGAAGUUCGAAAACCCCUUCUUUUCGGAGUCCAAGGGAGUAGGAUUCUUGUGACUACACGUAGUAAGGAAGUUGCUUCUACCAUGCAGUCAGAGGAACACUCCCUAGAGCAAUUACAAGAAAAUGAUUGUUGGAAGUUGUUUGCUAAACAUGCAUUUCCAGAUGAUGAUACUCAACCAAAUCAAGAGUGCAGAGAAAUUGGCAUGAAGAUUGUUAAAAAAUGUAAAGGACUACCUCUCGCCUUAAAAACAAUGGGAAGCAUGUUAUAUAACAAAUCAUCUGUUUCAGAAUGGCAAACUGUGUUCCAAAGUGAAAUAUGGGAAUUUUCAAAAGAGAGUUGUGAUAUUGUUCCCGCUUUAGCAUUGAGCUAUUUUCACCUUCCUUCCCAUCUCAAGGUAUGUUUUGCUUACUGUGCCCUAUUCCCCAAGGAUUAUGAGUUUAAAAAGGAGGAUUUGAUUCAGUUGUGGAUGACUGAGAAUCAUUGUCGUCAACAUAGGACUCCAGAAGAAGUUUGCCAACAAUACUUCAAUGAUCUACUAUCAAGGUCCUUCUUCCAACAACCAGAUGGAAAUAGAGAAGUAUUUGUCAUGCAUUACCUUCUACAUGAUUUGGCAAAAUAUGUCGGUGGAGGCCUAUACUUCAUGUGCGAACUUGAUCAAAUAGAAAAUGUACAGAAAGUAACUCGUCAUUUUUCAGUUGAACUUGGAUACGAUCAAUAUUUUGAUGGGUUUGGAACUUUUUGUAAUACAGAAAGGUUACGCACAUUUAUUCCAAACGAUAGGAGGAGACUGCACCAUUUUUACCGAAGGUGGGGUAUCAAAAUGUCGAUACAUGAAUUGUUGUCCAAGUUUAAGUUCUUACGUAUCUUAUCUCUUUCUUAUUGUUCUGACCUUCAAGAGUUACCUGACUCUGUUGGCAAUCUUAAGCAUCUACGUUCCAUAGACCUCUCCCAUACUGCAAUAAAAAGAAUAACUGAAAAAAUAUGUUUAUUCUCCCACUUGCAAAUACUGAAGUUGAACAACUGUACACAUUUGGAGGAGUUGCCCUCAAAUUUGCAUUUACUCACCAAUUUGUUACGGCUUGAAUUUAUACACACUAAAGUGAGAAAGGUGCCACCGCAUUUGGGAAAUUUGAUGAAUCUAAAAGUAGUAAUGAAUUCUUUUGAUGUUGGUCAUGGCAAGGAGUUGGGUAUUAAAAAUAUACAAGAGCUUAACCUUGAGGGAAGUCUAUUAAUUGGGGACCUAAAGAAUAUUUCGAAUUCCGUGGAUGCAUUAGAAGCGGAUUUGAAGAAUAAAUCACACCUUGUGAAGCUCACCUUAGAAUGGGGGUGGAAUCGAAACUCUAUUGAUUCAAAAAAAGAAGAGGACGUAAUUGAGAAUUUGCAACCUUCCAAAACCUUAAAGGAGUUGUCAAUCCGUAGGUAUGGUGGGAAACGAUUUCCAAAUUGGUUACUAGAUAAUUCGCUGUGGAAUAUGGUGCGCUUAGUGUUGGUGGGAUGUAAAUCUUGCGAACAUUUACCUCCCCUUGGACUGUUGCCAUUUCUCAAGGUCUUGAAUAUUACAUAUCUUAAUGGGAUAGUUAGUAUUGAUGCUGAUUUUUAUGGUAACAACUCUUCUUCAUUUAAAUCCCUUGAAACAUUGGAGUUCUCCUAUAUGUGGCAAUGGGAAAAGUGGGACUGUCAAGCUGUGACAGGUGCUUUUCCACGUCUGCGAAGGCUUUCCAUAACACAUUGUUACAAGUUUAAAGAACAGCUGCCAGAGCAAGUUGUUUCGUUGGAAAGACUAAAAAUUGAAUACUGCCAAGAACUUGAGGCUUCAGCUCCUAGGGCUCUACAUUUAGAACUAGGUAAUUGUGGAAAGUUGCAGUUGGAGUGGGCUACAAUGAAAAGGCUCACAAUGAAAGAAUCACCAUUGCUGGAAAUUGUUAGGUCCAACACUCUUGAAGACUUGCAAAUUGAUUCACCCGUGGAGUCAAUCAAUGAUGAUUGUGUCUCUCUACUCACCUUUCAAAUGGAUUUGUUCCCAACACUCAGGACGCUUCAUCUUAGUGGGUUUGGUAAUCUACAAAUGAUUUCACAGAGUCUUAUCCAUGAUCAUCUAGAAGAGCUAACACUCAAGAAUUGUCGUAAAUUACAAUCAUUGCUUGGAAGCAUGCAAAUGCUACUUCCAUCUCUCAGGAAGUUAUGGAUACAAGACUGUCCAAAAAUUGAGUCAUUCCCUGAGGGAGGUUUUCCACCAAAUCUCGAGACUCUGACAAUACAAGGUUGUUCAGUACUUGAGUCAUUCCCCGACCCCGACAAAGGUUUCCCAUCAAAUCUCCAUACUUUAAAAAUAAAAGGUUGUCCAAGACUUAAGUCGUUUCCUCACAGAGUUUUCCCAUCAAAUCUUAAGAACCUGACAAUCGAAAAUUGUUCUAGACUUCUUGGUUCACUGGAAGGAGUUUUCACACACAGUUAUUCUUUGGAAACCUUGUGGAUUGGAAACCUAGAUACAAAAUGUUUUCCAGUUGAAAGUUUGCUUCCACUCUCUCUUACUUCUCUAACCAUCUUUGAUUGUCCAAAUCUAGAAAAACUGGACUACAAGAGUCUCCACCAACUCUCAUCCCUUAAGAUGUUGAAUCUUUCCCAUUGCCUCAACCUCCAAUGCUUACCUGAGGAGGGUCUUCCAAAAUCAAUUUCAUAUCUUAGUAUUAGUGCUUGUCCUUUGCUGGAACCGCGUUGCCAGAAAGAAAGAGGCGAAGACUGGAAAAAGAUUGCGCACAUUAAGAAUAUAUUGCUUCGAUGAUGUUUGUUUUGAAGAGUGAUGCAUUUGUUGGGUUACAUAUUUUGUUUUUGUUUUGAAUGUGUAUCAACUACUUUCCUCUUCCUCUUUUGCUACUAUUCCUCCUAUACUUUUAACAAUUCAUUUUUUUUUUCCUUUUAACACUUCAAUUACUGCAACUACUUUUACAGCAAUGUUAUGCUUGCUUAAUUCAGGAAGUGUGAUUCAAAACAGAGAAAGAAGGAACUCAAUAUUCAUUUCAAAGUAACUUAGAACAACACUAUAUUUCCUUCUUCAAACAUAUAGCAGCAAUCUUUCUAAUUUAAUUCAUUCUGCAAAGUUCAUUUGGUUAGUAUUACAUGUAAUAUCUAAACAUUCAAAUUUUACAGUAAAGAGUAAAUAGCCUGCAUGACACUUGUUUACAGCAAUGUUAUGCUUGCUUAAUUCAGGAAGUGUGAUUCAAACUAGUAUGUAUAUAUAUCAAACUCACUUUCCAAAUUAGUUUGAAAAAUUAUGGAAGUAAGAACCACAUAAUAUUCUUGUUAAUGAGAACAUUUUGGAUCAAUACAUUUAGUAAAAACUCAAAUGAAACUGUUUAAAAUUAUGAGGUACUUAAAACUUAAAUAAAACUAAUUUUAAAUAAUAAAUAUAUAAUUUUAAAUAGUAUUAUAUUAAGUUCUUUAAAAAUAUAAACUCAAAUAAAAGUUUGAUUUUAGAGUAUAACUGCAUAAUAAAAUUAUUAGUACAAGUAAGUUUAGUUUUUUAAAGCAUACAUUUAAAUAAGUUAUAAGACAAAAUAUAAAUUUAAUUUCUUAAUAAUAAAUUUAAUGUUAUAAAUAUAAAUAAAAUUUAAUCAUCAAUAUUUCUUUCAUGGAUAUAAAGAAAGAAAUAUCUAAAUGAAAAUGACUAAGUAUAUCUAACCUUAUCCAUUCAUCCAAUGCACUUGUGAAAGAGCUCACAACACCAAACGCAAUACUUGCUAUUUGGAAGUGUUACAGUAAACCAUCACUCCUAAAAUAGAUUAUUACCAUUCAUUUCAUCGUAAUAUUAACCCUGCAUUUAAUCUGGCUAAUCAAAAUUAAUACAUAAAAAACAAGAGUGAAAGAAAAUUAUGUUCAAGUUAUUUAACUAGCUUGCUAGUUAGCUAAGUUGUUUUUAUGGUUUUAGAAGUAAACAUGCCCUCUUUCAUCUCAAAUGUGUAAAUUAUAUCAAAAUAUAUAAAAUUUUUGCAAAGAAAGAUUAAAGGAUAUAUGAUUCUUGCCAACCAUGAACCAUCUUUGUCUUUCUUGAUACAAGAGCAAUCCCAAAAGCCGCUGGUACAUGCUGCAUAAUUAUGCAGGUUUGCUUAUGCUUUAUAGUAUGCUGUACAAUUAUGUUUGCAUUGUUUUUCAAUGUUUUAUGUUUUUGGAUGUAGCUCAUAUUGCUUUUGGAAAGUUGAAAGCUAGAUGUAGUAAGAGGAGGUUCUUGUAUUUUAUUCAUUCUUGCUGAUAAAGAAAAAUAAAAAAAUAAUAGAUUUUAACAUACUUUUUAAUAUAUCUCUUAAUUUAAACAAAUCCCUUACUUAGUUAAUAGUUUAAUAAUAUCCACUCAUUUAUAAGUGCAAUACAGCUGUUGCAGUUUGAUGUUGGGAAGAAUAAAAAAAUAUAGGUAGACUAACUAUUGAAGAAGAAAACUGUUGAUCAAAUAUCUUUUCAUGAACCACUGAGUCAUUGGAAAAAGCUAGCAGCAGUUGAAUCCAUUCAUCUUUCUCCUACAAUGGCCUUAGAACUUGUUGGUGGUGCUCUUCUCUCUGCUUUCCUUCAGGUUGCAUUCAACAAGCUAGCUUCUCCCCAAAUUCUCGAUUUCUUUCAUGUAAGAGAGCUUGAUCAAAAGCUCCUCAACAAGUUGGAAACCAAGAUGCACUCCAUCAAUUCUCUGGCUGAUGAUGCAGAGCGAAAGCAGUUCAUGGAUCCACAUGUCAGAAACUAGCUGCUUAAGGUCAAAGAUGUUGUCCUUGAUGCUGAAUCUGAAUCACAAACCUCAGGCUGUACUUGCAAGGUACUCAAUUUCUUCAAAUCUUCUUCUAUUAGUUCCCUUAACAAGGAAAUUGAGUCUAAGAUGGAACAAAUCCUUGACGAAUUAGAAUUUCUCUCGAGCCAAAGGGGUGAUCUAGGAUUAAAAACAGCUACCGGUGUUGGAUCUGGGUCGAGUAAUGAACUACCACAGAAAUCACAAACAACAUCUUUGAUUCUUGGAACUGAUAUUUAUGGCAGAGAUGAUGAUAAAGAAUUGAUCUUUAACUGGCUGACAUCUGACUUCAACGAUUCUAACCAGCCAUCAAUACUUUGUAUUGUGGGAAUGCGAGGGGUGGGUAAGACCACUCUUGCCCAACAUGUAUUCAAUGACCCAAGGAUGGAUGAGGCUAAGUUUGAUGUCAAAGUCUGGGUUUGUGUUUCAGAAGAAUUUGAUGUUUUCAAGGUAUCAAAAGCAAUUCUUGAGCAUGUUACUACAUCGACUGAUAACAGUAGAGAUACAGAGAUGGUUCACAAAAGAUUGAAACAAAAUUUGACUGGAAAAAAGUUUCUUCUUAUUUUGGAUGAUGUUUGGAACGAAAACCAAUUUAAAUGGGAAGAAGUGCAGAAGCCCCUUCUUUUCGGAGCCCAAGGGAGUAAGAUUCUUGUGACUACACGUAGUAAGGAAGUUGCUUCUACCAUGCGGUCAGAGGAACACUCCCUAAAGCAAUUACAAAAAGAUCAUUGCUGGAAGUUGUUUGCUAAACAUGCAUUCCAAGAUGAUGAUACUCAACCAAACCAAGAGUGCAAGGAGAUUGGCAUGAAGAUUGUUAAAAAAUGUAAAGGACUACCUCUCGCCUUAAAAACAAUGGGAAUUCUGUUAUACAACAAAUCAUCUAGAAUGGCAAACUAUGUUCCAAAGUGAAAUAUGGGAGUUUUCAAAAGAGCGUUGUGAUAUUAUUCCCGCUUUAGCAUUGAGCUAUUUUCACCUUCCUCCCCAUCUCAAGGUAUGCUUUGCUUACUGUGCCCUAUUCCCCAAGGAUUAUGAGUUUAAAAAGGAGUGUUUAAUUCAGUUGUGGAUGACUGAAAAUUUUCCACACUGUCGCCGUCAACUUAGUAGGACUCCAGAAGAUGUUUGCCAACAAUACUUCAAUGAUCUACUAUCAAGGUCCUUCUUCCAACAAUCAGAUGGAAAUAAAGAAGUAUUUGUCAUGCAUGACCUUCUACAUGAUUUGGCAAAGUAUGUCAGUGGGGGCCUAUACUUUAGGUGCGAACUUGAUCAAACUGAAAAGGUAUAGAAAGUAACUCGUCAUUUUUCAGUUGAACUUGAAUAUUUUGAUGGGUUUGGAACUUUAUGUAAUACAGAAAGGUUACGUACAUUUGUAUCAAAACCUAAGAGUCGGCAUGAUUUUCGGUGGCGUUGGGGUAUGAAAAUGUCGAUAGAUGAAUUGUUCUCCAAGUUUAAGUUCAUACGUAUUUUAUCUGUGUCUCAUUGUUUUGGCCUUCAAGAGUUACCUGACUGUAUUGGCAAUCUUGAGUAUCUCCGUUCCUUAGACCUCUCCCGUACUACAAUAAAAAGAUUAAAUGAAAAGAUAUGUUUAUUCUCCCACUUGCAAAUAUUGAAGUUGAACUCCUAAUACACAUUUGGAGGAGUUACCCUCCGAUUUUCAUUUACUCACCAAUUUGUGUCGCCUUGAACUUAUAGAGACGAGAGUGAGAAAGAUGCCACCGUAUUUUGCAAAACUGAAGAAUCUUAAAGUAGUAAUGAGUUCCUUUAAUGUUGACGAUGGCAUUCAACGACUAGGAGAGCUCAACCUUGAGGGAAGUCUAUCAAUUUGGAACCUAGAGAAUAUUUGGAAUUCUCUGGAUGUAUUAGAAGCGGAUUUGAAGAAUAAAACACAUCUUGUGGCGCUGACCUUAGAAUGGGGUUGGAAUCGAAACUCUAUUGAUUCAGAAAAAGAAGAGGACAUAAUAGAGAAUCUGCAACCUUCCAAAAACUUAAAGGAGUUGUUAAUCCUUAGGUAUGGUGGGAAACUAUUUCCAAAUUGGUUACUAGAAAAUUCAUUGUGGAAUAUGGUGUCCUUAGUGUUGAAAGAAUGUGAAUCUUGCGAACAUCUACCACCCCUUGGACUUUUGCCAUUUCUAAAGGUCUUGAAGAUUAUAGAACUUAAUGGGAUAGUGAUUAUUGAUGGUGAUUUUCAUGGGAACAACUCUUCUUCAUUUAAAUCCCUUGAAACAUUGGAGUUCAUAUCUCUGAGUCGAUGGGAAAAGUGGGAGUGCCAAGCGGUGACAAAUGCUUUUCCACGUCUACGAGUUCUUUCCAUAAGAAAUUGUCUGAAGUUGAAAGGACAAUUUCUCUCCUACAAAUUGAACACUGCCAACAACUUGAGGCUUCCGCUCCUAGGGCUUUAUAUUUAGAGCUAUGUAACUGUGGAAAGCUGCAGUUAGAGUGGGGUACAAUGAAAAGCCUCAUAAUGGGAACACCAUUGCUGGAAAUUGUUAAUGGGUCGUCAGAAACUCUUGAAAAUUUUACUGGAAUUGGUUGUGUCUCUCCACAAAGCUUUCCAUUGGAUUUGUUCCCAACACUCAGGACGCUUCAUCUUAGAGGGUUUGGUAAUCUGGAGAGGAUUUCACAGAGUCUCGUCCAUAAUCAUCUAGAAGAGCUAACACUCAAGUAUUGUCUUAAAUUUGAAUCAUUUUCUGGAAGCAUGCACAUGCUGCUUCCAUCUCUGAGGAGGUUAUGUAUACAAGACUGCCCAAGACUAAAGUUGUUCCCUGAAGGAGGUUUCCCAUCAAAUCUCCAGACUUUGACAAUACAAGGGUGUUUAAUACUUGAGUUGUUCCCUGACAGAGGUUUCCCAUCAAAUCUCAAGGUUCUGAGAAUCUUUAAUUGCUCUAGACUUGUUGGCUCACUGAAAGGAGCUUUCACAGACAAUUCUUCUUUGAAAAUCUUGUGCAUUGGGAAAAUAGAUGCAAAAUGUUUUCCUGAUGAAGGUUUUCUUCCACUCUCUCUUACUUCUCUAUCCAUCUUUGAUUGUCCAAAUCUAGAAAAACUUGACUACAAGGGUCUCCAUCAACUCUCAUCUCUUAAGGAGUUGAAUCUCAGAUAUUGCCCCAAUCUCCAAGGCUUACCAGAGGAGGGUCUUUCCAAGUCAAUUUCAAAACUUGGUAUUCAUUGUUGUCCUUUGCUAAAAUCGCGUUGCCAGAAAAGAGGUGAAGACUGGGAAAAGAUUGCGCAAAUUAAACAGCAUAUGUAUAGUAAUGAUGAUGUUGUUUUUGUUUAGAAUGUGUAUCAACACAUUAAAAGGUAUGCUAUUCUUGCCAUACCUUUUAACUUUCAACUUGCUGAAAUCCUCGCCCUCAGCGCACAAAUGCUUUCAACUUUUUAUUGCUCAACUUUUUUAUUGCAACUACUCCUAGAUAGUUUUCUGUAAAUCAUGAAAACUAAAAACUUAAUUCAGAAAAAAAUAGUAUAUAAUAAACUUAAUUCACAUAGGCUCAUGACUCUUGAAACCUUACAAACCCAAAUCUUUACCCUCUUAUGUUCAGCAUGCGAGAUAUGAAUACAUCAUAUCUUUUCUCCAUCUUCGGAAGUUUUCCACAUUUUAUAUUGACUGAAGCCAGAUAGGAAAUGAGAAAAGAAGAACGAAGUUGUGGAUGCUUUGUCCAUAGUUUUUAUAUAUUAAAACAUUAAUAAAUGUUCAAGCAACAACAAAAACUUGAUAUCAAUGCAUGCUCAUUUGCCAAUGUAUCAAUUCAAAGAUAUUCAACAAGAUUUCCAAGGUGUCUACCUCAAAGAAAGCACAGCAGAUUCUAAUGAAAACAUAUGGUGAUAGAGAAAGAAAAAAAGAGUAAGGUUAAGGUGCAUACAUUAAGAAGGCAAUAUGAACUGCUAAGCAUGGUGAAGAAAGAAUCCAUUGUAGAUUACAUUAACAUGCUUCAACAACCCAUCAAUCCUAUGAGGGCCUGCAAGGAGCAGAUUUCAUAUUAGCAAGUGGUAGACAAUAUAUUGACGACUUUGCCAUCAUAAUUUGAUCAUAUAGAUGUUGCAACUGAGGAGUCUGAGGAGUUAGAUGCUGUGGAGAUUGAAGAACUGAAAUACUCCAUUGAGGAAUAUUAGCUCAGAAUCAAUGAGAGAAGAUCCACUCAAGAACUGGAACUUCUAGCACGAUCAAAUUACAAGGGAAAAGGCAAAGGAUCCUGAAAAGGAAACAAAUCAAGUUUUAACCAAAAACAUCAAGAUCACACAUCUAGUGAAACUAGUGAUUCUUUUAAAGGAAAUAAAAAUUAUCAAUCACAAAAGCAAGACAACAGCUCUAACAGUAGUAAGGAGUAGAAAUUUUACAAGAGAAAAGUGAGAUGUCAUAACUGUCAAAAACUUGGUCAUUAUGCAAAAGAGUAUUGGCAAGGAGAAGGUGCCAAGAACAAGCCCACAACCGAGCGAAUUUGGCUGAUGAUGAAGAAUCAGAUUCUAAAGUUGUGAUGCUCAUGGCAACCACUAACAUUAAAUCCUCAAAUGACACUUCAUUUUACUUAGAUCCUGGCUGUUCUACUCAUAUCACAAGAAAAGAGGAAUGGUUCAUUAGUUUGAAUGAUUUAUCACAGAGAAGAGUUGGUCUUGUAGAUUUAGCAGUCUCAUCGCAAAAGGCAUUGGCAGAGUUUUUUUUUAGAGACAGAGAUGGCAAAGACAAACCUGUUGAGUUUAGGCCACCUGCUGCAUAAAGUAUUUGUCAUGACAAUGGAGGAUAAUAGCCUUAAGAUGUUUGACAAAAAUCACAAACUUCUCAACAGUAAAUCUAUCUCCGAACUUAACUUUUCAGAUUGGAAUGAAUAUCUCUGAACUUAACCUUUGUACUUGUUCUCCUUCCUUAAACUUCUCCGGAGCAACUGUUAAUGCAUAAAUGUAUGUGGGUUCAAUGAAGUCAUCUUCUACAAUUUCUCUGAAAUCUUAAGAAUAAAAGAAUAUCUUCAGUUUAGCACUCCAAAAAUCAUAAUUUUUUGGGGGAAGCCAAAUACAGGAAUAGGUGAAGAAUGACUAACAGUAGUCUUGGGUUAAGAUUUCUUAUUUUUUUUUAUGAAUGAAUAGUUAGAAUAUUUGGAGAUAAUAGGAUAUUAUUAUUAGAUCAGCCAACUUAACUUUAGUAGCAGUUUUAGUAUUUUAGAAAAAUAGAAAAAUGAGUUUUGAUGUUGGUAAGUGAGAAUGGAUGGAGUUUAGAAGGAAAAGGAAAGAUAUAUUUAUGGUGGCGGGUAGCAAUCUGUUUGGAGGAAUGCAAUAUUGAUUUCUAUAACUUGACUAUAGGAGAAAUAAUUUAAGUUGAAUAACAGAGGAUAGUGGAAAUGAGAUGAAAAUUGAUAGAUAGAACACGAAAAAUGUCCCUCUAUUGAUCCCUCAGAAAGAAUGACACAAAAAAUGAAACCACACAAUUCAGGUAGUGAGAGAUAAGGAAUAGUUAUUGAACUAUCUCUAGUAUGAAAAUCCGCAGUGAUUCAAGAUAUGGUCUCCAGGGAAAACGACACAUCCACCCUCAAAUUGCUUAGGACAAUAUUGUUUGGGUAAGCAGAACGUGCAACUUUGUAACAUGUGUUAAAAAAAAAGUAAUUGACUGAAGACUGUCUCCAGAAAAGUGCUGUUAUAGGCUGUCAGCAUUUUCAAGGUUGGUGGAAGCUUUGAUAGAGACACGAGUUUCCUGCAAUCAUCUAACUUCAAUAGUGUCAUCAUUGAAAGCUUUUUUAUGCUUUCAGGCAAAUUCUCCACAAGUAGUUCCACUUAAGUCUAAAGUUUCUAAACAGAACAAGUGGCCAAUGAUGGUUUUCAAUCUCUGUACAGCCACAAGUGGCCAAUUGUAAGCUUAGGGAGAGAUGAUAUGGAAGAGUGGAGCUUACAUAUCUAAAGCUAUGCAUUCAACAACUUGAGUUCCCUUUGGUUCUCUAAAAUGAAACUCUCUAACGAAAAAGAAACAAUUAUGAAUCUACCAGUUAUACCAAUCUCACCCCUAGAGUUCCUACUGGUGCUCUUAAAUGCUUAUGUAACAGUAUAGCACCCAUGUUGAUCACCUUUCCAUCUCCAUCAGUCACUCUCAUUUUGUAAAACUUUGCUUUUAUCUAAUUUUUGCAUAAAAUUAUUCAGCACUCCAAUCUGUCCUCCAUUCUAAUCUCCAUACCCACCUAUCAUUCAUCCAAACCCACAGUCUUUCUCUUUAAUAAAGGAAAGGAAAAAAAUAAAGAUUUAAUUUAUAUUUGAAGGCUAACUGAUAUGGAAAGGAAACUAUUGUACUUGGUUGAAUGAAGGUCUUCUUUUGUGCUAAUCAAAUAGUUGUUUGUUUCUUUAGCAGUGAAUAUGUAGAUUCCCAUUUUGAAAGGCAAUUUGCUACAUUCUAAUCUUGUUGAACACUAUACAAAAUAUCAUUAUUCUAUGAAAUUGGACUUCAAGGAUUACCUUUUCUCUAGUAUUUGGAUAGUCUUUCAAAAUCAUAGAGGUUUAGUUACCAUAUAGUCAGCAAAAAAGUGGUAAUCAGAUCAAAAUUCUCGUGUUUGUAGCCUCCCAUCCAAGCUGAUUGUUGCAGUAGUUGAUAUUUUCUAGUAAUUGAUUACUCAAAUUUUUUUGAAUCUUAAUUAUCCUGUGUUGUUCAAAUUGAGAGACAACAGCAUUCGUAACCUUACCUAAUUGCCUCGAGAACAGAGAAAGAGGGUACUGAAAAUUCAUUUCAAAGUAAGUUAGAAGAACAGUAGAUUUCCUUCAAACAUAUUGUAGCAAUCUUUCUAAUUCAUUCCCCAAAGUUCAUUUGGUAAGUAGCAUUGAAAUAUUGUUAAUGUGAUGAAGUAUAUAGUAUAACGUCUGUUGUUCAAUAUUACUCUAUGAUAUUAAAAUUAAAGAGACUACUUCAGAAGGGCCGCAUAAAAAAACCAGAAGCACAUCCAACAAUAAAAAGCUACCAAAGCAAAACAUACUCUACUAACACAACACAAACCCCCAGCCCGCAAAAAGGGUCACUACAUACCCAAAAAGAGCAUAAAAACCUACUGCUCCCUGUUUGAACACCAGGACUCAAAGACUGCUCAUGGAACUAAAAGUAAUGUCAGGAGACUAUUAGUAUGGAUACCUAACAUAUUUAAUUUUCAGAGAAAUACCUGAAUCAUCAAUAAUCCAUACAACAUGACCCUUCGCAUCACUAAUCAUUUAAAUAUUAUGAUUAUGAAAGGGUGGAAUAUUAAGAAAAAAGAUGGAAUGAACCAUCAUGUACCAUACCAAGCACUAACUACCUUAACCUUUAAAUUAAAACUAAAAUGAGAAGGGAUAACUACUGGUUGCUCAAUAAUGCCAUUUAAUCUUUGUAUUUGUUCUCCUUCAAGUUUUCGUGAGCAACUUUUGGUGCAGAAAUGUAUAUGGUUCAAUGAAGUGAUAUUUUUUUGGAGAAAGUUGGAUACUAUUAUUAGAUCAUCCAACGUAAACUGAAUUAUAUAUAAACUUCUGCAUAUUACCUAUUUUAGGAAAACAGAAAAAUGAGUUUUGAUGUGGGUUGGUGAGAAUGGAUGGACUUUAGAAGGAAGAGGAUUAGUCGGCAAAGGAAUAUAUAUUACCCAUUUUUUUGAAAAUUUUGUUAGAUAUAGAGAUUAUUAGUAUGGAUCGAGAUUUAUAAUUGUUGUAGUAAAAUUUAAUAAAUAAAAUUAGGGUUUAUAAUUAGAGUAAUAAAAUUUUAUAAAUAAUUUUAGAGUAACAAUCUCUACUACCAAAACUGAUGGGCAAAGGAAAUGCGAGCGACUAUAAUUAACAACCAUAACAUAGCGAUCUUAACCACGACGUAAACCCUAAUCUAAACUCGUCAACUUGAUCACACACUCACGAAUUUAAGCAAACUCACAUUGUUUACAUCAAGUAUGCCAAAUCUAACUCGUCUAAAAUAGUUGAAAACGUCAACUGAAAGGAAUUAACAAGUUAAUUCAUAGUUUGAUGAUUAUAAUUGUAAUUAUUCAAACAGAAUUAUUUUUUGAAUUACAUAUAUAACAUCAUAAUCAUAUAAUUUUAAAUUCAUAUGAAAUCAGGACCAAUUGAAUUGUGUUAACUAAAUAUCAUGUUUCAGUGAGUGAACUUAAUAAUCAUUAUGUUUGUAAUUUGUGUGCAACAGAAAAUAAAUGAAAACUUAAUAAUUGUUUAUUUUUUUACCGGUAUAAAAACCAAUAUAAAACUCAAUUUCAUAUCUAAAAGUGUGCGCUAAAUCUCACUGUAAAAAAAUAAAAUAGAUUAUAUAUAUAUAUAUAUAUAUAUAUUCUCAUUAUUUGGUUUCAGAUUUAUUUUUUUCUUUCUAUUAAAAAAAAUUAAUUAAUUAAUUUUUAGGAUUUACGGUUUAUUAGUGUGUUGAUCAUCGUGAUUAAUGCCUCCUAUUUAUAGAAUGAUUUGUAAUCAUUGCUUUUAGUUGUAUUAGGAUUUUUUAAAUUGGAACUUAACUACAUUCUGAUAAUGGUUUUCAAAUUAGCUGAUUAUUUGGAUAAAAAUUUAUUCCUAACAUUAAAUGCGUUUAGAUCUUAGCUCCUUAUAAAAUAGGUGAAAACUGAUUUGGCACUGUCUGUGAAUUUAUGAGAGUGGUCCCAUUUCAGUUUUAUCUCAUUCAAAGCUUUUUAUCACGUUUCUGGUAGCUCCUUUAUCUUUAUUAUUUGCUAUGAAUUCACGUAAGUCACGCAGUGAUUGUGCAGAGCAGCAGAAAGAAGAUAAGACCACCAUUGUUGACCUCUGGUCGUGUAAGUGGACAAGAUCUUAGUUAAAUGAUUCACCAAAAUCAAGUAAUAAUGGCGGAUCUUGUUAAAACUUUGAUACAAAAGAAUAAUAUUAUAUCAUGAACUUUCAAAGAGGUUCUCCACGUUCACUAACUGUUCAUUAUAUCUUUAGUUAUUUAAAUCACUAAGAUGAGUACUUAAGUUUUAUUUUGAUUUUCAAUUUGUUGCUAAUGUAUAUUAAAUUAAAUAAUUUCAACGCUGGGUGUUUCUGUGGGCUCCUAUGGUAGAUGUUGAAGGUGUGUAGAGUUUUAGAGUAUGCAGCACACAAACAAAAACGAAUCUGAAUGUUAAGAAAUGUCUGCUACGGAAACAACAAGCUUCAGUCCCUAUUCAUUUCCCAUUUUUUCAGGGAAACAACAAGCUUCGUAACAAGUGAUGUGACAGAAAGGAUUCUCAAAUCUAUGACUCCCACAUGGCACAGUAACUACAGUAAUGGUGAAAUUUCAAGGAAACAACAAGUGAUAUGACAGAAAGGGAUUCUGAAAUCCAUGACUCCCACAUGGCACAGUAACUUCAGUAAUAUACUGUACAUAAUAACAUCCAAGGCAACAAUGGUGAAAUCAACAAUAACAAUAGUUACACAAACUAAACAAUGUUGUUGUAGUUUUCUAAAAAAUAUACCAAAUAUGUUGCUAGAUUUACCUUGUUAUGGAGUUACUAAGGGUGAAACUUCCAUGGAUUAAAAUCUAACUUAGAAGGAAAUAUAUAAUUAUAAUUAUUAGAUGAUAACUUUGUUGGGAGUGUUUUUUUUUUUUUCAUUAUGCUUAUGGAGGAAGGUGACACUAGGGUCAAGGAUGUGGAUAGAGUAAGAAAAUUUCAUUCUAAAAGUUUUUAUAGACUUUCAUGAAUGUUUAAGAGAGCCAACAAAAAGGUAAAAAAUCAUGGGUGGAAUGAAAAUAAAUGUGUGGAACAAUAUAUAAGAAAAGUGAAAUAUGUCUUUUAUCGAUAAAAGUGUGAUAGAGCUAAGAAAAAUCAAGGAAGUUUGCACACUAAGAGCUACAUCACUAUGCACGAACAUGCAAUUCCCUUGAUAUUAAUCCUUUAAUGUAUUGAUUUAUGAGUUAAACAAUUAUGUACUAAAUGAUUAUAAUGUUUGCUUUAUAGACAAUGAAACUUGGUCGCUUAGUACACGAAGAUGAGGAUUUUCAACAUACACAUACAAAAGAAUACCAUACAACUUGUCGAUAACGGAUAUAGGCAAACACACAUGAGUACUUUCUAUGCAUCUUAUUUACAAAGUCAUUUAAUUAUUAUACAUAUAACAAAUUUCUUGUUCAAAUAGGAGGAUUUUGAGAGUAUACUUUCUCUAUCAUGUAUGAUGAGUCUACUUCUAGGGUCAAUGUUUCAAAUGCAUUCCUCCCUAUGUCCUAUUGAGGAAGAGAGACUUAAGAAUCAAUGUGAGUUGUAGCUAGAAGAUAUGAGUUAGAUUUAUAGGAUUGAAUAUGUUGAUCACAUAAGGAUUGUGUUAAAAAUUACUUCCAACAAACAUAAACAUAUUGUAGUCAACAAGUUGAUUCCUAAGAUAUUAAUCAAAUAUAAAAUAAAUAGAUUUGUUGAGCCUUAAUCCAUCUAGAAAUCAAGGAACCCAAGGAUAUAAAUUCAACAAUACUUUCAAAUAUAGAUAAGUAUUCACGAGAACAUAUUUACUUGAUUCCAUAUAUUGAAGGGUCAUUUUCUAACUUUGUAUUUUUUAAAUUAUAUUAAUUAUAUAAGUAAUAUUUUGUCAUUCUGCAUAGGUCUCAUUAAUAGUUACUUGUAAUUAUACUAAGGAUCAUAUAAUGUGAUUUUUUCGCUUCAAAGAAAAUCCAACUAAACUAAGAAAUAAAAUGUUUAUUACAAGGGAACUUUAACAUUUUUCAUUAACUUGGAAAAAUAUAAGUGUUUUUUGAUUAACAUAUUUCUUUAUUGUAAUUCAAGUUGUAACUCACACAAAUAUUUUAAGUGAAGGAGCAAGACAAAGUUACUGCAAUUCAUGAUACAUACAAUAAUUAAUUAAUUUAAAAGUUGCAUGAAAAAUAAUUUUGGUCACUUGUUUAUCAUUUUAUAGUAAUAGGCAAACUUAUUUGUUUGAAUUUUACUAAUACAUCAUGUAUUGUAAGAUUCAUCAUUUGUGUGGGUGAAUGAGGUGAUACAAUCAACAUUUGCUUCUUUUACCUUUAUGACUAUUGCAUAAUAACCUCAGUUUGUUCAAUGAUCAAUUUUCAUUAUUUUAGGAUGACAUUUAACAAAUAAUAGAUCUGUGAGUAGUUUUUCUUCUCUAACAUGUAUAAAUAGUGUAGUUAAAUUGAACUUCUUAUUGGACUUUUAGUUCAAAUAUUUGGAUUAUAUUGUGUGUGUAUGUACAUCUCGAUAUUUUUUUUUAUAUUUCAAGUUUUGGUUUUAAACAAAAAUGAAUUAAAUUAAAAAAAAUAUCUAAAAUUUAAGUCAAAUUAUACACUAUUUAUCGUAAAUUUAUGUUGGACUUGAUUCAACGUACAUAGAUUCCCUGUGUAAUUCACACUCAAAUCUGUUCUAAUUUUUUGUCUUUCUUUUUUCAUUGUUUAUCAAAAUAUUAAUAUUAACUUUUAUUUUAUAUUGACUUGUAGUGUAAUAAACAACUGGGAGGCUAUGAGUGUUACUACUAGGUUAUGCAAUGGAUGACUACCAUUAUAAGACUGGCAUUCGAAAAGAUUAGGAGCAUGUACUAAUAUUUAAAUUAUUCUUUAUAAUUCUUUAAAGUAUAUUUAUCUUAACACUAAUUUGAACCUUAUUUUGUAAUGUAGUUAUUUAUGGAUGAGCAACCACUGCCUUUGGAGGCCCUACAUUAUGUGAGAAAUGUUUGGGUCACAUAUUUCUUUAAUUACUAUAACUAAUGAAUAGUAUAAGAAUUAGAUAGAUAGGAAUAUGUAUUGUUGUUUGUAAUACAUUUUAUCAAUAUAUAUAUAUAUAUAUAUAUAAUUUGCUUCUUUGAAUGAAUGUGUCUAAAUUUAUGUAUCUGGCUUACUGGAUUUUAAAGGAAUAAAUUAAUUUGUUAGAAUAUAUGACUUUAAACUAUAGGGGAGUGAAUUGUUUAAAGAGGGUUUUCGCAAACUUUUAAGUCAAGAAUGAAAUUAUCUCAAGAAACAAAUGAUAAAGAAUUCAGUUUGCCAAAAUUUAAAGCAAAAACAACUGCACCAAAAAAACAAUCGGUUGUUUCGCAUAAACAAUCGGUUGUUUAUACCAGUUUGCAAAUAUUAAAACUGAAUUUAAAGAGAUUAAGGAUAGAGAGAAUGCACACAAAUGUUUAUACUGGUUCACUCUAAACCCAGAGCUACAUCCAGUCUUCUCUUCUCAGAAAUCACUGAGGAAUUCCACUAAGCAAUCAAAGCUAGAUCACUUAGAACACAACCAAGAAAGUGACUUUGAUCCCCUCAAGAAACACACUUCUCUUGGCCAACACACCAACACUGAGAAUGCUGAUCUUGAUCCCCUCAAGAACACACAACACUUCUCAGCAAACACACAAAGAUUCUUGUUCAACAGAUACAAGGAUUACACUUGUUACAGAAGCAAAUCUGAAAUCAAUACAAGCAGAAAUCCUAAGCAAUCUCAACUUUUUAAAAUCUCAAAAUCUUGUGUUAAUUGAAAAACUCAAAUUUGUUUUUCUAAAUAUAUUCAAAGUUGUUUUUUGUUAUCAAAUCUUAACAAACUAUUCAUUGCAUUUAAAGAUUGGUUAAAUCAUUAAAAACUGGAGCGUAAACAGUUAGAAAAUCAUUUAAAGCUCAAUCAAAGCAAAAACCAUUUUUCUGUUAUGGUACCAAAACAAAGAAUCGGUUUUUUCCUUGGAUUAAUUGGUUGUUUUGGUUUUAACAGCUCAACCAUUUGAAAAACAUAUUUCAAUCUUUUCUAAAAACACCUAAGUAUAAAACAAUUGGUUGUUUCGACAAAACAACAGGUUGUUUUUCACUUAGCUUGAAAAAAACUUUUUCUUUUAAAAAGAUUGAGAAUGCUUAUGCUUUCAAUUCAAUCAAACAAAACUCAAUCUACCCAGAUCCUAUCUAAGACAACUCAGCAAUAGCAAGCACAACCUAGCCUUCAACAUCCUUCAAAGGGUUUGGAUUCUUCAAAGCUUGAACACCACUUCGUUCAACAUAAUUAAGAAGGGAGAACGCAUAAAAUAUAAUGAACUAAAAAAAGACCAUAAUAGACGACAGUUAUGGGCAUAACCACUAUUUAGACCUCUUAGGGGGUAUAAACGACAGUUUUGUACAAUAACCACCGUCUAUACCUCGACCAUGUAAUUUUUGGAGUAGUGUCAGGGAAGGUAUAAAUGACAAUUUUGGACAAUAACCGUCAUUUAUACCCUUCCUGACACUGUGUAUACCCAUAUAUGAUUUUCGUUAUACACUGCGACUGUGAAAAGAACCAUCGUCUAGAUGUUAUUUAUAAAUCACGAUUUUGGAAUAUUUAUAAAUCACGAUUUUGGAAUCUCUGUCUAUUCCACAAUAGUAUAGACUACGUGCUGAUAGACUGUAGUUACAAAAAUUGUUGUCUAAUCACUAAAAAAACGUUGUCUAAGGGCUUUUCUGCAGUAGUGUCUCUUACGUCUUGCUCCUUCGUGCCUUGGGUUGUCGCUGCCUACCACCACCAAGUUAAUAAAGUUUUUUAUUUUAUAAUGUUAAAUAUUUUGCUUUUGUUUUUCCAGUAUUAUUUUUUUAGUAUGUUAGUUUAUCUUUUCUUUUUAUAUUUUUUGUAUUUAUUUUUUCAAUAAUUUAUGUUUUUUAUUUUAUUUUUGUUAGGUUAGAAUUAUUAAUUGGUUAGAUUAUUAUUAGUUAUAUUUAUAAAGUUUUAGAAUUCUAAAUUAUUAAGUGAUAAAGAAUUGUGUGAUAGUGUUGCAUUGAGUUUGGGGUGUUUGAUUCCAAUAAAUAUUGUUCUAUUUUUGGAAAGUUCAUAUUUUAAGCGUAAUGCUGCUGAAAAUUUGUUAGAUAUAAGUUCAUUAUGAGAAUGUUAGUAUGGAUCGAGAUUUAUAAUUAGAGUAAUAAAACUUAAUAAAUAAUUUUAGGAUUUAUAAUUAAUAUUAGGGUUUAUAACUAUAGUAAUAAAAUUUUAUAAAUAAUUUUAGAGUAAUAAUCUUCAUGACCAAAACUGAGACAAAGGUGAACAUGAACUUUAUGAAAGCAACCACAAACAGAGGCGAGGUGAGCGACCAUGAACACAAUUGAGACAAGCGACCAUGGUCAAAAACAAGGCGAGCGACCACAAACACAAUCAACAAUGACAACAUAGCUACCUCAACCAUAAUGCGAACCCUAAUUUAGAAUAAGUGGGAACGUCAUUUCAAACAAGUUAACGAGUUAAUUUACGAGUUUGAUAAUCAUUAUUAUAAUUGUUAUAAUCUAAAAUAAUUAUUUUUUGAAUUGCGUGUAUAAAAUCAUAACCAUACAAUCUGAAAAAUAGUAUAAAACCAGCAUAAAAACCAACCAAUAUAUGGCACUCAAUCUCAUAUCUAAAAAUAAGUGUGAGAUUUAGGGGUGUCUCCUAUUUUUUCCUACUUUGGGGUUGUUAAGGUGGCUUCAAACCUCUCUGAAACGGUUACAAACAGUUUUUUCAUAAUUCUUGAAUCAUUUAACAUAGAUCCAAGCAACCUUUACGGAUUCUGACUUCUUCAUUCUCUGCAAUUCAAACUCCCUUAUUAGAUUCAGGCUAUCCUCUCAUCACCUUCAUAUUCUGCCUUGAGGUAAUCCCAGAUUAUUUUUGUUGAGUUCAAGGAUAUUAUCCUUCUGAAUACCAUAGGAGAUAUAGAUGCAAAUAGGCAUACGCUUGCCUUUGAUCUCUUCAAUUAUUUUUGCUAAUAAUUACAUUUAUAAUACUCGCAGUAACCGACUCUUAAAUGAUUUUAUGAAAAGUUACUUAAAAAUAUUAAUUCAACAAUUAAAACAGAAGAAUAAAAUAUCACGUGCACUUAUGUGCAUUUAUAUGUAGUAAAAAACACACAAUAUCCAACACAUACCUUUGUACUGCAGUCUUCAUAUCUUGGCUUCCUAUGUAGUGAGCAAAACCAGACAACAAUGUUGUCUAUUAGGCAAAUAAGCAUCAAUUUCCAUUGAGACCUGGUAUAAAACAUUUCAUUAGUCAUUUUUAUAAUUAUGUAAACUCUAAAUGUAACAAAUUUUACUUACCCAUUUAUAAAAGGAGCAAAAUAAAUAUUUUUUCUGGAUGUUUGAAUCCAUCUUUGAAUGUAAGUAUGACAAUAAGUUUUUUAUUCUCAUUUUGUAUGGAUAGUGACUCAAGGAAAUCAUAAGUAUCAAAAUUUUCCAUGUUGUAUAUGAUUUAUAUACCUACAUUGUUAAUAUAAAUAUGAGUGACAUGAUUCAUGAAACAUCAUUCAAUUAAAUAACAUGUAAUUAUUAAGGGUACUUACAUCAUCCAUAGUUGAAUAACUGCGAUGUUCAACAAUUGAUUACCUUGGAUGAUUAUGUACAAUGGUGUACCACCAUGUUCAACUCCAAAUAAUGUGGCAUCUCAAAGAAUUACACAAGAAUCAUGAAACAUUUGAUGUGAAACCUUGACCAACUCUGUAAUAGAGAACAAUUUGUCUAACAAAAUAACACAUUUGACAUAAUAAUGAUUGGAUAUUCCAAAAUUGGUGCCCAAAACAAUCCAUGUAUAGUACAAGAUAAUUGUUCCAUAGAUAGAUUGUACUCCAGCAUCUUUGAAUAGGUUAGUCUUGAAAUCUUUAACCAUUAUUGAGGGUUGAUACAUACAAACUAGAAAAAGUUGAACCUGAAUUUCUUCCUCUAUUGUUAAUGAAGCAAAGUCCAUGACAAAACUUUAAUAAGAUAUCAGUGGUUGAAUGUCAAAAGUAGUUUUUUCCAAGACAAGUUUCUUCAAAAUUAAAGUAAGUUUGUGCACAAUCUAAUUUGCAUCCUUUUUUAGCUUAUUUGAAAUUUGAUUUUUAAGAGAAAAUUUUAACUUCAGAAACAGCUUAUUGCACUUUUUUUCUGUGGAACUUUUUAUCUUACAAUUAUUUAAGGAAAAGUUUAUGGAAAUAAGCUAGUAUUGUUUGUUUUGUCAAUGCAAAUCCAAAAUAACCGAUAUAUCUUCCUUAAACAUGAAUGAACAAUUUGAUGACGAGUCCAAAAGCAUAUCUGUGCAUGAACUCUUAAGUUCUUCUGAAAACUUUAUUUCAUGUUAAUAAAUCUCAUUUUGAAAUGAUUUUUCUGAAAAUAUGUUCAAUUCCUUUUGAAAUAGUUUUUCACGAAGGGAUAAAUCUUAGUUCAAGAACAAUUUUAUCAUUUCAUAUUUAUUACAGUACAUUAGAUUUGUAGUCUAUUUAGGAAAAAGAGCAAGCAGUAGUCCUACUAUAAGAACAUAGAAGGGCUACUGAUAAAUGAUAAAACCAGAAAUAAUGUAAUACUUUGUUACUUAUAUUAAUUAAGAAAAGAGAUUUGAUAACUUAUAAAUUAGAAUUCUACAUUUUUAUUUAAAAAAAAUAGGUAAAAAUAUAAUUGAAACAAAAAUUAUAGUUUGUCACAUAAUUAUCUAUUGUUAAUAUAUAUAUAUUUGUAAUAUAGAUAGUUUGAAACUUAGAAGUGUCAACCUAACCUAACAUGUAUCAGUUAUCACACAGUGAUACCUAACUAAUAUAAUAGUUUUUACUUAACAAAAGUAAAAUUGAGUGUACAACAUAAAACAAUAUAUGCUCCACUUUAUUUUGCUGAUAAAAUAACAAUAAUACAUAGAAGAUUCCAACUCAAAAUAGACACUAACAAAACCAUACUUUUACAUUAUUGAAACAUAAAUAGAAGUAUGAUGAUUUGAUCCGUACAAAUACAUUGUUGAAAUUAAUUUUCUUAGCAGCAAUUAAUUGUCAUAUGUAUCUAUUUUGCCUUGUAGGAAAUCUCUAAACCAAAUGGCAGAUAACUUUGGAUAUCUUUUGAGAUUAUGGUAAUCUACAAAGAUUAUUCCAAACCUUGAAGUGUACCCUAAACUCCAUCCGAAGCUGUCAGUUAAAGACCAUGCAAAAUAUCCUUUCACAUUCACGCCAUUCCUAAUAAAAUCAAAACAAAAAAGUAAUACAUUAUCAUCAUAUAAUUAGGAAGCUUUUUUCUGGCCUUAACACAUUUUGAAUAUGGUGUAAAACACUUACUCGAUUGCGCUUUGAAGAUAAUAGAGAUGAUCAUGAAAGUAAUCAAUUCUUGAAGUAUCUGCUAAGGCUUCUUCAAGUGAUAGAGUUUGAUCAUUGAAUUCAUCUAUACCUAUAUCACAAGUGAAUAAAUUGUUUCAGUAUGAGAAGGAAAAACACAUUAUAUCAAUUCUCUCUCUUACUUCAAUGAUUUAAACUUUCAUAAAUGAAAAUGUCAUGAUUAAACUCAACUGCUACAUUACCAUUUUCAGUGAUGUAGAUCAAAGGGUUGUUGUACUUCGUUUUGAUAUACAGCAACAGAUCAUGAAUUCCUUUCGGACAAACAUACAACAAUUUUGAACUCUGCAGAAUACAACUUUCCUUUUCUUCAUUGAAAAACUAAUUGAAAUGAAGCAGUGAUAUGUAGUUGCACUUUCAAUAAAAUGUAAUCACAAACUUACCACUUUACAAAUAGGUGUUCCAUUACGCUCACCUGUUAAUAUUCUACAUCAUUCUCUACUAAUAACAAAAAUUAACAAUAUAAAUACUUGAUUUUGAUUCAUCAGCUGCAAUUUGUGUUGGACCUCAAACAUAUAUAUAACUAAAUUAAAUGAUGGAUUAGAAUAACAAUGAUAAUUUGGAUGGUAUCAUACAGUUAUAACAUUUAUCUGUUUUUGUACGAAACUGGGGCAAUCAUUGCCCCUUAUUACUAAAAUGAGGUUGCUUUUCAAAAUAUUACAUGGUUGGAGAAGUCUUGCAAAAGUGGUAUGAUUUUAUUGUGAAGAAAAAUUGAAAUUGUGCCGGCACGACUUUUAUGUAAUCAUUUUCAAUUAAAGUUGUGUCACCUUGACAUAACUUCACUUCGACAUAACUUUGACAUAGCAAAAAAUCAUAGUAUUUUGACACGAUUUCUUCGUAAUAAAGUAAUGUUACGUUGGCAUGAAUUCUCCAACCUCGUAAUAUUUUAAAUGACAACCACAUUUCAGUAAUAAGAGGUAAAAAUUGUCCGAGUUUCAUACAAAUUCCGUCAUUUAUCUUCUUUCAUACGUUAAAGUCUAUAUAUAGUCAAUAAUGACAUAGAUAUUAAAGAGCACUUACUUGUAAGAAUAACAAGAGAAUCUGUGAGGAAGCUAGGCCUUGCUUCACUUAACUCAGGUGCAUCAGUAGCAUAAUUAGAAGUAUAGUAGUUUAUUCCAAUAAAAUCAAAGGACCCUCUUACAAGUUUGACCUCAUCAGCAGAAAACUUUGGUAAUCGACUCCCUACCAAAGAUUGCAUGGAUUUAGGGUAUUCUCCAAUUGUCAAUGGCUCCAUAAAGCUACAAUAAAGUAUUUGAAUAAAUUAGUUAUACAGAUUAUUAGUUUAAUCCUAGCAUUAUACUUGAGUAGAUAAUGAGUAUUAAUUGUAGGAUUUUUCAUCUGAAUAACCUGUCAUGGAUUGCACUGCUCUUUUGGUGUUCUUCAUCAUAAGUUUAGUGUUCUUAUCUGAUCACUAUAUCAAGCUUUUGCCCCUUUAAUUAGACUAUUUAUGUCUCUGACUAAUCAUAAAAUGAAAGUAAUUUUCUCUAAGUACACACACAUUCUAUUACAUUCCAGAGUUAAAUUGUUAUGAUGAAAACAUAUUAUAUCAUGAGACUCAUUGUGUGACAAGAUUUGAAUCUUUCUCCUACAAUAUAUUGACUUAAAAUGACAAAAUAAUUUAGAAUCACUAUCAUACUAUACUUGAGCUCCACAUUAGAAUUUAGGUUCAUAAAGUAGUUACCAUCCAAAUAUAAAAUCAAGGGCUCUUUCUGCAGCAAACUGAUCCAACUCUGUAUCAUAGAGUGGUACUAUCCAAUCACAGGACAGUGAUAUCCCUAUCAAACCCUUUUGAGACACAUACAUACAUGAAGCAAAAUUUAAGUUUAGGACUAGUUUAUUAUGAGUCUUUGAUUGAAUAAGGAAGCCAAUACACUUAUUCUGAUUGCAUUUCAAACUAUAAAAUUUGCAAUUGAACCUGAUAUUUUGUCUUAUAGACAUUGACAGCAGCUGCAUGAGCAAGUAAUUGAUUGUGACUCACUAUGUAGGGUUCAGUGGCUGAAUCACCAGCAGUACAAGAUAAGUUUUGCCAGGUUGAACAUCUUCCAGGUGGGAAAAAAGCAUCAGCAUACCCAAAUUUACUAUAGGUCCAUGGUUCAUUUAAUGUAGUCCAAUGUUUUACCCUGUCUCCAAAUUCUUUAAAACAAAGUUCUGCAUAAUCUUUAAAAUCAUCCCUACAUAAUGAUAAAAAAGUAGAUAUUAGUUAGAGUAUGUUCUCACAAAUAAUAUAUUUUGAUUAUUAGAUAUAAGAAAUGUGAGUUACACUAUAUUAGGACUUAAAAAACCAUCAUAUUCGUCUUCUAAGGCUUGAGGAAGAUCCCAAUGAAAAAGGGUCACAAAGGGUUUAAGACCUACAUUAUGGAUGUCAACAAAUUUAGUUACUUGUUUCUAUUUCAAAACUAAAUUAGAGAAAAUGAAAUUUAAAAAAUAUACUUAUCUACAUAUUAACCUUUAGCUAACAGUUCAUUAAUGAGGUUGUUGUAAUAGUUGAUUCCUUCCUUGUUCACACCUCCGCUAACCUUUCCUUCUGAAAUUAGCCAAAGAAUCUAAGAUUUAAAUAAUAGCCAUCAAUUUAUACAAGACAUAUUUUUUAUUGCUAUGAUUAAGGAGUGCUAAUGUACAAAAUUAUAAGAAAGAGAAGCUCUUAUAUAGUUCCCUGUUUCUUACUUGGAAGUAUUCUAGGCCAAGAGAUUGAAAAUCUGAAAGCAUCCAUGUUCAUUUCCUUAAUGUUUUCAACAUCUUCCUGUGUUAUUAGUCAUGAAAACAAUUUCAAUUAUGCUUUAUUUUAUUGCUUCACUACAUAAUAAGUAUUAAAGGGUCCUUAUUAUCAUACCUUAUAACGAUGGUAUUGAUCAAUGCUAACUUCUCCAUUACUUCUGUCCAGUAUUUUAUCUGUCAUGUUUCAAACAAAAUAUGCUAGAAUUUGUAUAACUACAGACAUUUCUCUGGCAGAUCAAGAACAUAGUAAUAAUUUUAGCAAAAUUAACUAAGAAAACUCUAUCAAAACUACAUUACAUUUUAAUACAAUAAUAUAAACUCUAUAAAUUACCUUACACAACAAGCUAUAAUUGAACACACUAAAAAAAAUUACAGUGAACAUGGAUUGUACUAUAAGCAAGGAAAAAAAUAAAACCUGGGUGAUUAUGAGUGUAUGUAUCCCAUAUGCUUGGUCCUUUGCCACCAACAUUUGCUGCACCUUCACACUAGUUUAUAUGGCAAUUAAUUAAUCUCUUUCAAACUUAAACAUUAUUGUAAAAAUAAAAGUUCUUUGGAAAUAAAAGGGUUAUUGCAAAAUUUGGACGAUUUGUGAAACUUUUCCUACAUACUUUUUACAGAAAUUUACAAAGAAAUACGCUCCCUGUGAAAUUUUCUCUAAAAUUUCCAAUAUUUCAGUAGAUAUUUAUAAAAAAAAAGUCUCAAAAUAUAAAAAAGUAUCACUGUUUUGGAAGAACCUGAUAAGAAGAUGAUCCUGCCCCAAAUAUAAAACCUUUUGGAAAACUGCUUCUGUUGAGAGAUGUACUCCUAAAAUCAUCAGUGGAAAAAAUUGAAACUGAACCUUCAAUGCAGAUUGGUACUGAUAGCAUAAGCAGCAAAACACCAUAGAGAAGAUUCCAACUCAAUACCAUAGCUACAAUCUUCAUAGUUUUUUCACUUUCAUUCCAGAUGUGUGCACUAAUAUAUAUCCGAAUUUAACUAAUGAAGUCUAUUGCAAAUAUAAUAUAUAUUAAAACUAAAUUUUAUUUUUAUACAAAAUCCACCACCUGUAUUUGCAAAUAAAUAAUGGAGAAAUCUGAUUUGCAAAUCAAGAUAAAAGAAAGGAAAGAUAACCAUAAUCAUAAUCAUAAUUAUAAGGAAAGAUUUGUUUUAAUGGAAGAAGUUAAAGGAAACCAACUAAAAUCUUAACAUAUUUUUAAAUAAAAUAUAAUAAAAGGGUAAUUUUCUAUUUUCAAACUACUACUUUAUCUAUUAGUUUUAAACAUAAAGGCACUACCUAACUAUGUAUGCAGAGCUGUCGACAUCACCUUAAUAUUGUAUAAGUUUCUCUGUUUCUAUAACAUUUGGCUUCCUCCAUCAUUACAUUUGCUUCCUACACUCCAUCAGAAAUGUUAAUUGACAAAAUUAAUUU